rnacentral:lncRNA from 1 species
UCCCCCAAUCUUUUCCUUUCUAAUAAACUCAAUGGCCCGCCAAAUUGUUGUUCUUGCUUUGGUCACCAUGGCCCUCUUUGCCUUGGUUUCCACCGCUGCUGCGGCCACCGCCCCCGCACCCGGUGGCAGCCCCUCAGGUUCACCUGGAGAUGCUAGCUCCCCUCCUUCUCAGGCCAGUGCUCCUAGUCCCAGCAGCGGUGCUGCUCUUGAGCUCUCGGCUAUUGUUGGAGUUGGAGCAGCCGCCGUUGCUGGCUACUUUAUGUUCUAAAUACGAUAUGUAGGGGCCGCUUUCCUAGUUUUGAUAUCAUCACAAAUGCUGUCUUAUUAAUUAUGUUGAGAUUUGCAUAAUUUCUUUACGAAUAAAGAAAAGGAAUGGAUUGGUGCAUCUUAACAAGUGUUCUCUUUAUGUUUUGUUUGCUUUUAAUUUUUCCAAUGCCAAACCAUUAUAUUAUCACAAUCUCAUAAAUGUAUACCAACAACUUAAAAAACAAACAUAAAUAUUAAAAUAAUAAAUUUAUUUCAAAAUAUAUAUAAAUAAUAAAAUUUAGAUAACAUGAUUAAAUACCAGAAUUCGAUAAUGAUUUAAGGUACAAAAUUGAACAUGUUAAAUAUGGAUAACUCCGGAUAGUCCCUUUAUUGUAGAAACAUGAAAAAUAGAACCUCACCUUUUGUCAAGUUGAAAGGAACACAAAAAAGUUAAGAUUUUAUUUUAUUUUUCUUAAGCAUUCCAUCAUUUAGAAGUGGAGUUAAUGUUGUGGUUCGUGAAUAAUCUCUUUUCAUGAUUUUGUUUUUAAUGGAUGUAUUAAAUUGAAGUUAUGUGACAUACACCAAAAAAAAAAAAUUGAAGUUAUGUGAGGAUUCGGUAUAUGUGUUUUUAGUAUCUUUUUAUUUGUAGUAUAUUACAUUGAUAUCCAAAUCAAUUUUCGGUUCAACUACAGAUCUUGAACCUGCUUGACUUUUGUUUCUGUCUACUGUUACAAAUGGUUGUAAUUCUUUCCGUUAUGGUUCUUCAUGGUAUAUAUUUAUUGUUGCUUUGUAUGUAUGUAUGUAUCGUCGUUUCUAAUACUGCUAUUCUUCAUGUUCAUUAGAUUCUAACCAUGACCAUAUGCAUUAUUAUGUUCUAUUUCGUAUAUAGUAUAUUGAAAGGCACUGCCAUUUGUUUUUGAGUGACGUCUUACACCGGAAAGGCUUUAAUUGAACUGAUUUGUUUUUAGUUAAGACUUACAAUGCAAACGCAAGACAUUUUUGUUUGUCUUUAUUAUUGUUAUCUAUUCUUUAAACAGUGACCGAAUGCAUUCUUACUAUUUUCUUAUUAUAUGUUGAUGUAAGGAUCGAAAAGACAGAGGUUGUGAUGGUAUUAAUCGGUUGAUCCUGUUUAGGAAGGGACGGAAAGCCUAUGGCGGAGACGGGAGUACGGUGAAAACGAGGCUCUCCAUGGAGAAAGUAAUGAGAAAAAGAUGGAAAGGAGUGGAAGCCUCCCUUGUUGAACCUUCCUUCUCUCCUUUUUAUCCAUACGCUAGGUAAUGAUAGCUUAGCAUAUGUAGGAUGUCGUAGGGUUAUUCGGGAUGUGACCGGUGGACCUUUUGAUGAGACUUGAUAAAAUAAUAUUUUAUAUGUAUAACAGUUGUCUUCUAAAUUGAGGGAGAAGUUAUAGACAUUUAUUCAAGACACAAGUAUGGACAGAGCUUUUGCGUUGUGCGCUGCACACCUUUUUUUUUUUUACGAAUCUCAUACUGACGAGUUGUAAGAUCGUUUGUCUAUGAGCAUAUUUUUAGUACAUGAGUAAAGGGUCACUGAGGAGUGCCAAUUAUUAAAUUACACAUGUUUGAUAUUGUUAAAAGUGUAUAAAUAUACUUAUCGAGCAAUAUCUAUUUUGAAGUGUCUAUAACAACUCGUUUUUAGUAAAAUCAGAAUAGUAAUUUUAAGACCAUAAAUUUAAUGAGUAAAUUAUUAUUUUAAUAUCUAUAGAAUGCUAGUAAGGUCGUAUAAAAAUUUUGUUAAGAAAUUUUGAUGUUUGCAUGCUUAAUUAUGUAAAAAGGAUUAAAUCGUAAAAGGUGUAAAAGUAGAGUUCUAUUAGUUAAAGGUAUCAAUUAGCUAUGAAAUUUUAAAGUAAGGGGAUUUAUAUGGUAAUUAGACCAUUAUUAUUAUUAGUGGACAAAGAUGAACAUAAUAAUAAGUGAUUUUGAUGUUAUAAAUCAAGGUUAAAAUAGUAAUUUAAUAAAUAAAAUUAAUCAAAAUAAAAGUAAAAGAUGGUAUCAUCCAUAGUUGUCUUCUCCAUCGAAAUUUUAGGGUUAGAAAACACCAUUUUAAACCUUUGAAGUUUCAGCAAUGUCUAGCUUUUGCAUGAUGGUGUUUUGAGGUUAGUUUUUAACGACUUUAUGUUUUCGGUAUCAUUUGUAGUUUAACCUAGUUAGCCCAGGGAUUAAAUUACAAAACUAUUAAAGAUUAAGGGUUUUUCCAUGAAUGUUAUUGCAUGAUUCUUGAAGUUUAAUGGAGGAAUGUGAAUAAUUGUUGUUAAAUAAACAAGUUUUGUAAAGUGAUUUUGGAUGAAAAUGUCAUUUAGGGACUUAUUUGUAAAUGCAGUAAAAUUUCAUGGUAAAAUUAUAAAAUGCUAAUUUUAUAGGUUGGUAUAGGUCCCUAGUGAAUUAGGCUAGCAUGAAAUAAGGAUGAAAAUGCUUAGAUUUAAAUUUAUGAGCUUAAGGACUAAGUUGUAAAAAGUUAAAAUGUUAGAGGAAAAAUUUUAAUUUUACAAAAAAUGUGAAUUAUGGAUUGAAUUGAAUGUUUGAGAUUGAUUGAAACACUUAACUGAAUAUAAUUAUUUAUUUAGAUCAAGAUAAAUCUCAACCAGUUCUAAAUCGAGGAAAGGCGAAAAUCACGGAUUAGCUCGAUCAUAUUUCUACUAUCUAAUCGUCAAGAUAAGUUCAUAGUAUUUUAAUAUGUAAUUGAAUUUCUACUUGUAUUUCCAUAUUAUAGCUAUGUAAAGAGAUGCUUAUAGUUAAUUAUUCCCUAAAUUGCACAUAUAUACCCCUGUUUGUACUUCGGUACCCUUGAAUUGCACAUACAUUCCCCUAUUUACACUCUGGUAACUUUGAAUCGAGUAAAUUAUGAGUUGUAUUCAAUUGUUGUUAGGUUAAAUGAUAUACUAUGUCCUUACUAAGCUCUAUAAGCUUAUUCGUUCUUGUGGAUUAUUUUGUAGAUCGUUGUUGUUGACAUUUGAACGGAUCGAAUUUUCGGUUCACACUAUCCAUCGAUGUUGGUAGUUCUUGUGUCCCUUAGGGUAGUGGCAUGUAUAUGUGGCUAUUUGGGUUGUUUUGGUACUAUAUGAUAAUAUACUAAACUAAGUUGUUAAGUAUUUUUUCAAGAUUGUAAAUAGGUAUCCUUUUGAUACAAUUAGAAUGGUAUGAAAGUGAACACUCGUGGUUUGUUUUGCUUUAUGAAUGAAUUAAGUUGCUAUGCUAGGAAUGGAUUAAUGUUAUCAAGUUUUAGGUGUUAAUGAUGGAUAUAAUUGCGAUGUCUAGGAAAGGCACAUUGGUUGGUUAUUUUUAGAACAUUAAGAUGAUAUUGAACUAAACAUGUUUGUUUUAAAUAUGUUAAUGCAUAAGUUUAGGUAAGUUUGUAUUUUUUUUAGGGGCCUUAUAUAGCAUAUUGGUUGAAUACUUUUAGACUAGUGAAUUGUUCAUUUCAUGUUGGUUUUGGUCAUGUUAUGAGGCCUUGAUUAUGUCUACAAAAUGCUUUUAGGUACAUGUUUGAGUUGGUGAUGGGAAAGACUUAAUUUUGGCCAAUUUCAUGUCCACACAGCCUGAGACACGAGCGUGCGACUCUGCCAUGUAUGACACAUGGCCAUAUGACACGGUCGUGUGUCCUAUGUAGGUUUUAAGGUUUGCAGGUCAGGCAGUUACAUGGCCUAGCACACGGCCUGACAGACAGGCGCGUGUGGCCAUUUGGAAAGUUACACGACCUAGCACACAGGCGUGUGGCUUGGCCGUAUAACCCAAUUUUGAAAGUUACACAGGCACGAACACAGGCUGGGACACGGCCAUGUGUCCCUAUUUCGAAAGUUACACGGCCUGGCCACACAGCCGUGUGACCCCUGUAAUUCAAAAUUUCUAACUUUUCCUUAAACCUUCCAAAAUUUUCUAAUUUGGUCCCGAAUUGUUUCUAUAAUAUUUCUAGGGCCUCGAGGGCUCAAUUAAAGGACAAUACGCAUGUAAAUGAAUCAUUUAUGCUUUGUUUAUAUUAAUGAAUGUAAUGUAUGUUUUUAUGUUACGGUUAUACGGUAAUACUCUGUAACACUAUUUCGGCGACAGAUACGGGUUAGGGGUGUUACAGUGUCUGAAGUGGUUCUUCUAUUAAACUUAUCAAACAGUUUCCUCUUUGAGGUGUCAGCUUAAGAUUAUAUUGAAUUUUGGCUAAGUGCUUUAAGAGGCUAGAAGUGCUUCUUUUAUUAAACUUAGCAAGUAGUUUUCUCUUUGGGGUGUCUGCUUUUGAAAAUAUUAAAUUUUGCCUAAGUGCCUUAAAAGGCUAGAAGCGAUUAUUCUAUUAAACUUAGCGAGCAACUUCCUAUUUGGGGUGUCUAUUUUGUAACUUUGUAAAAUUUAACUAAGUGCCUUAAGAGGCUAGAAGCGAUUCUUUUAUUGAACUUAGCGAGCAAUUUCCUCUUGAGGUGUCUACUUUAUAACUUUGUUCAAUUUAGCCAAGUACCUUAAAAGGCUAGAAGCGAUUCUUCUAGUAAACUUAAUGAGCAAUUUCCUCUCGAGGUGUCUGCUUUAUAACUUUGUAAGCCUAAAAAGGCGAUGUUGAGCCUGAAAAGACAAUGGUGAGUCUAACAAAUGUUAAGUUUUAUAACAAUAUAUUUAUACCUUUUUGUCCAUAUAUACAUAAGAGGGCGGAAAAUUGUCCACUCCUUUGCUAGAGAGAUAUUCAUGGUACAACAUUUAUCCUUAUGAAACUUGAAAAGAACGCAUCAAUAAUAAAAGAGCCUAUUUUUCAGUGGUGUCAGAAACUGUGGUUUCGACGCCACCAAAUCCGAUGAGUAAGUUCGUAAAUAUUAUUAUUUAAUAUUUAACAGUCCAAUGUGAUUUUUAAAAAAAGGUUUUUGAUUUGAUAAUUUAUGUUAUAUAAGUGAUUUAUUAAGUUUAAGUGGUUUUAAAAAAUGAGGUAUCGGGGCCUUGUUUUUAUAAACUGAGCUGUAAAUAUUUUAUAAAUAUUUAAGGAGUAUCAUUAAGGUGGUAUUAAAGUUUCGUUAAGAAAUUUUAACAUUUCGAUAGUUAAUUGAUUAAAAAGGACCAAAUUAAAAAAAAUGUAUUCCUGGGACUCCGUUCCCAUAAAUUAAUAAAUAUUUACGAAGUUAGUUGUGUAGUUAGUUAGGUUUCGAUUAAGUGAAUUUGCUUGAAUUAAAAGUAAUUAGAUAUAAGGACUAAAUUGCAUAUAGCGUGAAAGUUGAAUUAUAGAUUAAAGAAAAAUUUAAGGGACUAAAUAAGUAAUUAUGCCAUUGGCAUUAAAUGAGGUUGCAUAAAAAUGAAGAUAUUUAUAAAAUUUAAAGUUAAAAAAAAUAUAAUAUUAUAAUAAUAAACCUUAAUGUUUAAGUAUAUAUUAUAUUAUAAUAAUAAAAUAAAAAGAAAUAGAAAUAGAAAAAGAGAAAGAUAGAACCAAAUAGAGAAGGAAAGAAAGAAAAAGGAAAGGAAAGGAGAAAUAAGGAGAAUUAGGAUUUCAAAGGUUCAAAGCUUAAUUAGUUAGUCAAUUUAGUCUCUUUUUUUGUAAUUUUUAUAUUUUUAGAACCCUGGUAUUAAAUACUACCCGACCCAUGUCAAAAUUUUAGAAAUUAUUCAGUUGUUAAAUAUUGCUUAUGUUGAAUAAUUUGAGUAUUAGGGAUUAAAUUGAUAGAUUUUCAAGUUAGAAAUGAAAAAAAGGAUUGAAUUGUAGAAUAAAUUGUAAAUUUUGAGUAAUAAGGACUAAACUGUGAAAAUUUAAAAAUUUAGGGAUUUAAGUGAAAAUAAAUAGUUGAAUUUAUUCUAAAUUGGAAUUUGCAUGAAAAUAAAGAAUUAAAUGUGAAGAAUAAAAGUUAGUCUCGGUUUAGGGACUAAAUUGGAAAUUAGGCAAAGAUUGAGUAAAAAUUGAAAUAUUCACUAUGAAAUUGAAUUGUGUUAUAUUUGAUGAAUUUUAAUUGUUUUAAUUCCGUAGCUAACGUCGUACCGGAAUCCUCGACUAAAAAGAGGAAAGACAAAGUCGACAUUGAAUAGCUCGAAAUUCCUGAUUUGUAUUUCUAUAAUCCGAACUUAGUUAUUAAUUAUUGUAUUUUGAUUAAAUGUUUAUGGUAAGUGUUGAGGUGGGUAAUUGAUAUUUUGACAAUUGAUUGAAUGAUUUGAAUUGAUAGAUAUAUAUAUUGAAUGGAUUGAUUUUUGAAUUGAAAUGGAUAUACAUGUAAAUUAUGUGAUUAUAUGAAAAAUUAGUAUUGGAUAUCGAUUAUAUUUGAAAUAUGAAAUUAAACCCUAUUAACUGUAUCGGAUGAUUCAGAUAUAGAUGACAUGCCAUAGGAUUGGAAGAGUUCAGGGAUUCUUCAACCUCGAGUCGAUGAGACAAUGGGUGUCAAUUUAUUUCUUCGGAUUAAUUCGAUGAGGCAUUGGGUGCCAAUUUACUUCAGUUUAGCCAAUAAGACGCUAGGUGUCAACUUAUUACUUCGAAUUAUCCGAUGAGGCAUUGGGUGCCAAUCUGCUGUGUUUUUGUUGGAUCCGUGUAUCCGUCUGUGACAGCCCAAAAUUGACCCUAGUCGGGAAAUGGUUUCGGGACCGCUAAACCGAGUCACCGAAAUGUUUGAAUGUGAUAUUUAUUGUCUAGAAUAUGUAAUUAUAAAUGUGUGAAAAUUUCAAGCUUCGAUUUAGUCGAUUGCAUGUGAAUUUAGUCAAUAGGACUUAUGUGAGAAAAUUUUAAAAUGUGAUAGGUCAAUGUGUAAGGACCUAUUAGUGUAUGUGGAAAAAAGGGGGGACUUGCAUGUCAAAUUCCCCCCCUAAUGAGUAGUGGCCGGCCAUGACAAGCAUGGUAGACCAAGUGUGAUGGGCAAGACAUGUCAUAGACAUGUUGUGUUAGUGCAUCAUGAGUGGAAACAUGUCACAAACAUGUUAUGUUAGUGAGGUAUGUUAGGAGAAAUAAAAUAAGGAGCAUGGGCAUAAAAUAAUGAAAAGGAGUAUGAUGAAUACAAAAAAAAAAAUGUGUGUAGUUGUUUCCCCCCCCAUUGCCGUGAGUUAAAGAAAAGAAAGGAGAAAAUUUUGUUCAUCCUUUUUCAUCUUCAUUUGGCCGAAAAUUUUAAGGAGGAAGGAAGAAGAAAGGUUGAAGAGGUUCGGCCAUGCAUGUGACUAGGCUAAGGUAUGUUUGGUGAUGUUCCAUGAGAUGCAUGCAUAUUUUAGUUGUUAGCUUGAGUUCUACCUAGCCCAUGGUCUAAAUCUUGCUAUGUGAUGGAAAUGACACUCGGCCAUGGAUGCAUCAUUCUUGGUUGAUGUUUGAUGUUGUGGUGAUGAGGCAUGAAGAUGAGUUAAGUUUCGGCUAAGGUGGAUUUGUGUUGAUGUCAUUUGCAUGCUAAGUGUAAAGCUUUGUAAUGAUGCAUGUGAUGGUGGAUUGAUGAUUCUUGAAUCUUCUUUUUAGCAUUUUUGAGUGAGCACAUAUGUGCAUUGGUUGCUAAAUGGAGAAGAAUCGGCUAGCAAGUUGUGUGCUAAGGCCGAAUAUAAUUUUUGUAUAUUAAUGAGUAAUGCAUGUGUUAAAUUGAUGGAAAGGGAGAGGAUGCUUUACUAGUGUAUAUAUGUGUGUAUUAGCCAAGUUUUGAACUUGAAACAAAAGGGUGUUUAGUCAAUACAAGUGACCAUACUUGUAGAAUGUAUUAAGUGUUGAAAUCGGCCCCAAAAUAGACAUGCAUAUUCGGCCAAGGGGGAAAAAUUAGCUAAAAUGUUGAGUUUGAUUCAUGAUUCCGUACAUAUGUGACUUUAAUGUCUAAUGUAUAAAUAUGGGCUAAGUGCCUUGUGUUCCUCUUUUCAAUGCUCAAAUGAUUAAAUCAAUUUAUUUGUUUAAUUAAGCUCAAGAGCAAAGGGGAACUAAAUCCGAUAAAGGGAAGGAUAAAGUGGUCGAAUAGCUAUCGGAAUCGUUCGACAACACCCGAGGUAAGUUCUUGAGUAAGAGAGCUUAAAUUAAGAUUAGAUUAGAUCAUGUUUUAAGCAAAUCAAAAUCAUGCUCUUUGUGUGUGUGGCUAUUGAGCCGAAAUUACAAGAAUGAUAAGUGUCUUGUGUUUGAGUUUUGCUAACGAAAAUGAAAUGCGAAUGGGCCAUGAUUUAUUGUUAAAUGUGCAUGGUUAUUUGAAUGAUGUCCGGGCUAAGUCCCGAAGGCUUUGUGCUAAGUGACCAUAUCCGGACUAAGAUCCGAAGGCAUUUAUGCGAGUUACUAAAUCCGGGUUAAGUCCCGAAGGCAUUUGUGCGAGUUACUAAAUCCGGGUUAAGUCCCGAAGGCAUUUGUGCGAGUUACUAUAACCGGGCUAUGUCCCGAAGGCAUUUGAACGAGGAGCUAUAUCCGGUUAAAUUCCGAAGGUACGUGAUUUGGGAAUGAAUGAUCUUGCUGUAAAAAUUUCAGUUAAUGCUCUAGAAACAUCCCAACAUUGAGGUAUGUUUCGUAUGUGCUUGAAUUUAGUUGAGCCCUUACAAAUAAGUAUUCGCUCAGUUGAUAAACGAGCUACCGGCCUUUGGCUAAGUUGAUCUUUUGUGUAUGUACAUAAGGGUUGGUAAUGUGAAGCAAGUAUGAUAUCGAAAAUUUGUGCAUAUGAAAUUAUCCGUUUAGCUAUAUGAAUGCUAUACUUUUGUUGUGCUGGAAUUCCUUGCUCAAAACUUACUAAGCAUAAAUUGCUUACUCCGUUUCAUUGCUCCUCUGUUUUAUAGAUUUGGUUCUCCAGCUAUCGGACUCGGGAUUUUGAAGUCGAAGUCGCCCACACUAUCAAAGCCCCCCUUUUGGUACAAUUUUGGUUGAACUUCGAAAUGGCAUGUAUAGGACUACCCGUUUGUUGUGGGUCAUGGACCCUUUGGACUUGUAUAAUUUUGGAUAGCCAUGCGAAAAUGGCUUAUAUAUGUUUGAGUGUAAUGUUAUAAUCAUUUGGUAUGGAUAUGGUUAUUGAGAGGUGUGGAUAGGCUUGACAAGGAUUGGCCAUGGGAAUGGUUAAUCACUAUCAUAAAUUGUGCUACUUAUGCAAAAAGGGCUAGUUGAAUCAUGGAAACUAUGAAAUAGGUAAAGUCUACCUUAAAGGCAGAUGCUGACAGCAGCAGUGAUGUAGAUUUGGAAAUUCACUAAAAAUAGUAGGAAUGGAAUUAAAUAGUGAAUAAAUUAAGUAAACGAACCUUGAUGAAUCUAUUUUCAUAGGAAAGUAACGAAACAAUCAUACGGACAGUAUGUUAAGAGAUAUUCAGGUUCUUGUGAGACAGGGCCAGAACAGUUUCUGGAUUUCCUGUUCCGACUUUGGAAAUUCAUUAUAAAUUAACCAAAGACAAUUAUGAGUCAAGCCAUAUAUGUAUAGAUUCCUCUCUGAGUCUAGUUUCUAUAGAAACAAACGGCAUCAGUAUUGAAGCCCUGUACAGGGAGAUAUCCAAGUCGUAAUGCGCAAAGGUCAGGGUAGUCGAUCCCUGUAAGAUGGGAGACUUUGAAUAAUAAACUGUACUAAUUGGCCCGACCAAAAAUUCUAGAAAAAAAUAUGUAGAUGGGCAUAUGAGUCUAGUUUCAGGGAAAAUUUACGGAACUGGAUUCCGAGUUUCUGAACUCAAGAUAUGAUUUUUAAAGCGACUAUUACGCAGAUUGGCAGUGUCUGGAAAAUUUUUAAAGUUUGUUAACACCUCGUGUUCGACUCCGGAGACGGUCUCGGGUUCGGGGUGUUACAUUUGAUUGGUAUUAGAGCCAGGUUUAGUCGAUUCUAGGACUACCGUAAUGCGUUGGGUCUAGCUAUACAUGCCAUUUUAUGUGAUUAUUUGAUAGUGUGGUGAUUUCUGACAUUGCAAAUGUGUUUAUUUAUAGUAAUGGAUCCCGAUCCCGACCGAGCGGUAGCUGAUGAUCUUGAGAGUGUAGCGCCUGCUCCCGCACAAGGGACAGCGCCGACGGACUCUCAACCUAAUGCUAGUAACCCGAACGAUGAAGCUAGACAAGCUUUCUAUAGCGUGAUGAAUGAUUGGUUCAACCUAUACAUUCGAACUAAUACGGCUGUUCCACAACCUCCAUUCCCGACAAAUACCACCCCCGCACCUACAAUACCUCCGGUAACUGACCAAAUAAGGUCAAAUAAGCCCCCAGUUGACAGAAUCUGAAAACAUGGGGCUACUGAAUUUAAAGCUACGGAUAGCGACGAUGCCGAACAAGCUGAAUUUUGGUUGGACAACACUAUCCGGGUACUCGAUGAGCUAUCUUGUACACCCGAUGAAUGCUUAAAGUGUACUAUCUCCUUGCUACGUGAUUCUGCCUACUAUUGGAGUACUCUGACUUCUGUUGUGCCCCGAGAGCAAGUAACUUGGGAGUUUUUCCAAACUGAGUUUCGGAAAAAGUAUAUCAGUCAGAGAUUUGUUGAUCAAAAACGGAAGGAAUUUCUUGAGCUUAAGCAAGGUUCCAUGUCAGUUACUGAUUACGAGCGAAAAUUUGUUAGACUUAGCAAAUACGCUCGGGAAUGUGUUUCGUCCGAGGCUAUCAUGUGUAAACGCUUCGAGGAUGGGCUGAAUGAAGAUAUAAAAAUGUUCGUUGGCGUUCUUGAAAUACGAGAGUUCGUAGUACUUGUCGAGCGAGCUUGUAAAGCCGAAGAGCUUAGAAAAGAAAAACAAAAAGUUGAUGUGGGAACUGGAGAGUUUCAUAAAAGAUCUUCGGGAAAGUCUCUUCAACAGGCAUCGAAGAAAUUUCGAGAUGAUGUGGGCUGGUCGAGAGGCACUUUCGGGCCUUUUUAGACGAGAUCGUGAUUGACCCCCUGUGGGUACACGAGGCACUUCGGUCGCCAGUGUUGGGAAUGAACGUCGAGACUGAACGAAAUGUCGAUAUUGCGGUAAAUGGCAUUCGGGGAGUUGUAGAUUCCCUGACCGCUCCUGUUACAAGUGCGGAUCAGUUGACCACUUCAUUAAAGAUUGCCCGAGGUUGUCUGAAUAGAAUGUAAAUGAGAGUGGGAAACCGGGUGCUACCACUGCUCGAGGUAGACCAUCUGGAAAUACGGGCAAUGCUAGUGGUGGUCAGAGAGGAUCUAGAGAUGCUAUGACCAGAUCCGAGGCUCGUGCGCCUGCUAGAGCUUAUGCUAUACGUGCCCGCGAGGAUGCUUCUUCGCCUGAUGUUAUUACUGGUACUUUUACUCUCUUUGAUACUAAUGUAAUUGGUUUGAUUGACCCCGGUUCUACUCAUUCUUACAUAUGUGAAACCUUAGCAUCCAGUAAGACUUUACCUAUUGAGUCUACUGAGUUCGUAAUUCGGGUGUCAAAUCCCUUGGGUCGUUACGUGCUUGUCGACAAAGUGUGUAAGAAAUGUCCCCUAGAAAUUCGAGGUUCCUGUUUUCCGGCGGACUUGAUGCUUUUGUCGUUUGAUGAAUUUGAUGUUAUUCUUGGUUUGGAUUGGUUGACCGUGCAUGAUGUGGUUGUGAAUUGUAAAAGCAAGACUAUUGAUUUGAGGUGCGCAAAUAACGAAGUAAUCCGAGUUGAGUCUAUGGACUUGGAGGGGAUGCCAGCUGUAAUAUCAUCAAUGUUGGCCCAGAAAUAUGUAAAAAAAAAGGUGCGAAGCAUACCUUGCGUAUGUACUUGAUGACAAAGAAUUAGAAAAGAAACCCGAAUCUGUGCCGGUGGUUUGUGAAUACCCGGAUGUUUUUCCUGAAGAAUUACCGGGUUUACCACCUGUUCGGGAGAUAGAGUUUGGUAUUGAGCUUGUACCUGGGACUACGCCGAUUUCGAUAGCUCCGUAUCGUAUGGCACCAACCGAGUUAAAAGAGUUGAAAGUUCAGUUGCAAGAAUUGACGGAUAGAGGUUUUGCUCGACCAAGUUUCUCACCUUGGGGUACACCAGUAUUGUUCGUGAAAAAGAAGGACGGAACCAUGAGGUUGUGCAUUGACUAUCGUCAACUGAAUAAAGUGACGAUAAAGAACAAAUAUCCGUUACCGCGUAUCGAUGAUUUGUUCGACCAACUGAAGGGAGCCUCAAUGUUCUCAAAAAUAGAUUUGAGAUCAGGCUAUUAUCAAGUGCGAAUUCAAGAAUCGGACAUACCCAAAACUGCCUUCAGGACGAGAUAUGGUCACUACGAGUUCUUAGUGAUGCCGUUUGGGCUCACUAAUGCCCCUGCGAUAUUUAUGGAUUUGAUGAAUCGGAUCUUCAGACCAUAUUUGGAUCGGUUCGUAGUUGUGUUCAUUGAUGACAUCUUGGUCUAUUCAAGAGAUGAGACCGAACAUGCUGAGCACCUGAGACUAGUGUUGCAAAUUUUGCGGGAUAAGCAGUUAUAUGCUAAGUUCAGUAAGUGUGAGUUCUGGUUAGGAGAGGUUAGCUUCUUGGGUCAUGUGGUAUCCGCAUCGGGUAUUCGAGUUGACCCGAGCAAAAUUUCAGCCAUACUUAACUGGAAGCCUCCAAGAAAUAUUACCGAAGUUCGAAGCUUUUUGGGGCUCGCCGGUUAUUACCGACGAUUUGUCAAAGGUUUCUCGAUGAUAGCCACACCAAUGACGAAGCUACUUCAAAAGGAUGUUAAGUUCGAAUGGACGGAGAAAUGUCAGAAAAGUUUCGAUCAACUGAAAACUCAUUUGACUGAAGCUCCAAUUUUAGUGCAACCCGAAUCAGGCAAAGAGUUUGUCAUUUAUAGUGACGCAUCCCUACUUGGGUUGGGUUGCGUAUUGAUGCAAGAAGGUCGAGUUGUGGCCUAUGCGUCGAGACAAUUGAAGCCACACGAGAGAAAUUAUCCGACCCAUGAUCUCGAACUAGCUGCCAUCGUAUUUGCUUUAAAAAUAUGGCGACAUUACUUAUUUGGUGAAAAGUGCCAUGUAUUUUCGGAUCACAAAAGUCUCAAAUAUUUGAUGACUCAAAGAGACUUAAAUCUGCGACAAAGACGUUGGCUUGAGUUGUUGAAAGAUUACGAGCUUGUCAUUGAUUACCACCCGGGAAAGGCUAAUGUGGUUGCGGACGCCUUAAGCCGAAAAUCAUUGUUUGCUUUACGAGCGAUGAAUGUGCACUUGUCUGUUCUACUCGACAAUGUGUUAAUAGCUGAAUUAAAAGCCAAACCAUUAUUGAUUCAUCAAAUUCGUGAAGCCCAGAAAGUUGAUGAUGAAUUGGUUACAAAACGGGCUGAGUGUGCUCCGAACAAGGAAUCGGAGUUUCAAAUUGAUGAUGAUUGUUUGAGGUUCAGAAGUCGUUUGUGUGUUCCAAGGAAUUCGGAACUCAUUUCGAUGAUUCUGAACGAAGCCCAUUGUAGCCGAAUGUCAAUUCACCCGGGGAGUACGAAAAUGUACAACGAUUUGAAACGUUGGUUUUGGUGGCAUGGUAUGAAACGAGACAUCUCCGACUUUGUUUCGAGAUGUUUAAUAUGUCAACAAGUGAAAGCGGAACAUCAAGUGCCUUCAGGAUUACUUCAGCCGGUCAUGAUACCCGAGUGGAAAUGGGAUCGAGUCACAAUGGACUUUGUGUCCGGACUGCCAUUGUCAGCAAGUAAGAAGGAUGCGAUUUGGGUUGUUGUUGAUAGACUGACUAAGUCGGCUCACUUUAUUCCCGUGCGUACGGAUUUUUCAUUGGAUAAACUAGCUGAAUUGUAUGUUUCUCAAAUUGUGAGAUUACACGGGGUACCUAUUUCUAUCGUGUCGGAUAGAGAUCCGAGAUUCACCUCACGAUUUUGGAAGAAAUUGCAAGAAGAUUUGGGUACCAAGCUGCAUUUUAGCACUGCUUUUCACCCCCAAACCGAUGGUCAAUCCGAGCGGAUAAUUCAGAUACUGGAGGAUAUGUUGAGAUGUUGCAUCCUCGAGUUCAGUAGUUCAUGGGAACGGUAUUUACCUUUGAUUGAAUUCGCUUACAACAAUAGUUUUCAAUCAAGUAUUAAGCUGGCACCUUACGAGGCUUUGUACGGUUGUAAAUGCCGUACACCAUUGUUUUGGACCGAGCUCGGUGAAAGUAAAAUUUUCGGAGUUGAUUUGAUUAAAGAUGCCGAACAGAAAGUAAAGGUAAUCCGUGAAAGUCUGAAGGUAGCCACAGAUCGUCAGAAAUCAUAUGCGGAUUUGAAACGAAAGGACAUUGGAUAUCAGGUGGGAGAUAAAGUGUUCCUUAAAGUUUCGCCUUGGAAAAAGGUACUCAGGUUUGGCCGUAAGGGCAAGUUGAGCCCGAGAUUCAUUGGGCCGUACGAAAUCUCCGAACGAGUUGGUCCGGUUGCGUAUAGAUUGAUUUUGCCCCCUGAGCUUGAAAAGAUUCACGACGUCUUUCAUGUUUCGAUGCUUCGACGCUAUCGAUCUGAUCCAUCGCACAUAAUUAGCCCAUCAGAGGUUGAAAUUCAAGCCGAUAUGAGUUAUGAAGAAAAACCGAUGCGUAUUCUAGCUCGUGAAGUGAAGGAGUUGCGAAAUAAAAGGGUUCCGUUAGUGAAGGUGUUAUGGCUCAAACACGGGAUCGAGGAAGCUACUUGGGAAACCGAGAGCUCGAUGAAAGAAUGAUACCCAAACCUAUUUACCGGUAAGAUUUUCGGGGACGAAAAUUUCUGAAGUGGGGGAGAGUUGUGACAGCCCAAAAUUGACCCUAGUCGGGAAGUGGUUUCGGGACCGCUAAACUGAGUCACCGAAAUGUUUGAAUGUGAUAUUUAUUGUCUAGAAUAUGUAAUUAUGAAUGUGUGAAAAUUUCAAGCUUCGAUUUAGUCGAUUGCAUGUGAAUUUAGUCAAUAGGACUUAUGUGAGAAAAUUUUAAAAUGUGAUAGGUCAAUGCGUAAGGACCUAUUAGUGUAUGUGGAAAAAAGGGGGGACUUGCAUGUCAAAUUCCCCCCCUAAUGAGUAGUGGCCGGCCAUGACAAGCAUGGUAGACCAAGUGUGAUGGGCAAGACAUGUCAUAGACAUGUUGUGUUAGUGCAUCAUGAGUGGAAACAUGUCACAAACAUGUUAUGUUAGUGAGGUAUGUUAGGAGAAAUAAAAUAAGGAGCAUGGGCAUAAAAUAAUGAAAAGGAGUAUGAUGAAUACAAAAAAAAAAUGUGUGUAGUUGUUUCCCCCCCAUUGCCGUGAGUUAAAGAAAAGAAAGGAGAAAAUUUUGUUCAUCCUUUUUCAUCUUCAUUUGGCCGAAAAUUUUAAGGAGGAAGGAAGAAGAAAGGUUGAAGAGGUUCGGCCAUGCAUGUGACUAGGCUAAGGUAUGUUUGGUGAUGUUCCAUGAGAUGCAUGCAUAUUUUAGUUGUUAGCUUGAGUUCUACCUAGCCCAUGGUCUAAAUCUUGCUAUGUGAUGGAAAUGACACUCGGCCAUGGAUGCAUCAUUCUUGGUUGAUGUUUGAUGUUGUGGUGAUGAGGCAUGAAGAUGAGUUAAGUUUCGGCUAAGGUGGAUUUGUGUUGAUGUAAUUUGCAUGCUAAGUGUAAAGCUUUGUAAUGAUGCAUGUGAUGGUGGAUUGAUGAUUCUUGAAUCUUCUUUUUAGCAUUUUUGAGUGAGCACAUAUGUGCAUUGGUUGCUAAAUGGAGAAGAAUCGGCUAGCAAGUUGUGUGCUAAGGCCGAAUAUAAUUUUUGUAUAUUAAUGAGUAAUGCAUGUGUUAAAUUGAUGGAAAGGGAGAGGAUGCUUUACUAGUGUAUAUAUGUGUGUAUUAGCCAAGUUUUGAACUUGAAACAAAAGGGUGUUUAGUCAAUACAAGUGACCAUACUUGUAGAAUGUAUUAAGUGUUGAAAUCGGCCCCAAAAUAGACAUGCAUAUUCGGCCAAGGGGGAAAAAUUAGCUAAAAUGUUGAGUUUGAUUCAUGAUUCCGUACAUAUGUGACUUUAAUGUCUAAUGUAUAAAUAUGGGCUAAGUGCCUUGUGUUCCUCUUUUCAAUGCUCAAAUGAUUAAAUCAAUUUAUUUGUUUAAUUAAGCUCAAGAGCAAAGGGGAACUAAAUCCGAUAAAGGGAAGGAUAAAGUGGUCGAAUAGCUAUCAGAAUCGUUCGACAACACCCGAGGUAAGUUCUUGAGUAAGAGAGCUUAAAUUAAGAUUAGAUUAGAUCAUGUUUUAAGCAAAUCAAAAUCAUGCUCUUUGUGUGUGUGGCUAUUGAGCCGAAAUUACAAGAAUGAUAAGUGUCUUGUGUUUGAGUUUUGCUAACGAAAAUGAAAUGCGAAUGGGCCAUGAUUUAUUGUUAAAUGUGCAUGGUUAUUUGAAUGAUGUCCGGGCUAAGUCCCGAAGGCUUUGUGCUAAGUGACCAUAUCCGGACUAAGAUCCGAAGGCAUUUAUGCAAGUUACUAAAUCCAGGUUAAGUCCCGAAGGUAUUUGUGCGAGUUACUAAAUCCGGGUUAAGUCCCGAAGGCAUUUGUGCGAGUUACUAUAACCGGGCUAUGUCCCGAAGGCAUUUGAACGAGGAGCUAUAUCCGGUUAAAUUCCGAAGGUACGUGAUUUGGGAAUGAAUGAUCUUGCUGUAAAAAUUUCAGUUAAUGCUCUAGAAACAUCCCAACAUUGAGGUAUGUUUCGUAUGUGCUUGAAUUUAGUUGAGCCCUUACAAAUAAGUAUUCGCUCAGUUGAUAAACGAGCUACCGGCCUUUGGCUAAGUUGAUCUUUUGUGUAUGUACAUAAGGGUUGGUAAUGUGAAGCAAGUAUGAUAUCGAAAAUUUGUGCAUAUGAAAUUAUCCGUUUAGCUAUAUGAAUGCUAUACUUUUGUUGUGCUGGAAUUCCUUACUCAAAACUUACUAAGCAUAAAUUGCUUACUCCGUUUCAUUGCUCCUCUGUUUUAUAGAUUUGGUUCUCCAGCUAUCGGACUCGGGAUUUUGAAGUCGAAGUCGCCCACACUAUCAAAGCCCCCCUUUUGGUACAAUUUUGGUUGAACUUCGAAAUGGCAUGUAUAGGACUACCCGUUUGUUGUGGGUCAUGGACCCUUUGGACUUGUAUAAUUUUGGAUAGCCAUGCGAAAAUGGCUUAUAUAUGUUUGAGUGUAAUGUUAUAAUCAUUUGGUAUGGAUAUGGUUAUUGAGAGGUGUGGAUAGGCUUGACAAGGAUUGGCCAUGGGAAUGGUUAAUCACUAUCAUAAAUUGUGCUACUUAUGCAAAAAGGGCUAGUUGAAUCAUGGAAACUAUGAAAUAGGUAAAGUCUACCUUAAAGGCAGAUGCUGACAGCAGCAGUGAUGUAGAUUUGGAAAUUCACUAAAAAUAGUAGGAAUGGAAUUAAAUAGUGAAUAAAUUAAGUAAACGAACCUUGAUGAAUCUAUUUUCAUAGGAAAGUAACGAAACAAUCAUACGGACAGUAUGUUAAGAGAUAUUCAGGUUCUUGUGAGACAGGGCCAGAACAGUUUCUGGAUUUCCUGUUCCGACUUUGGAAAUUCAUUAUAAAUUAACCAGAGACAAUUAGGAGUCAAGCCAUAUAUGUAUAGAUUCCUCUCUGAGUCUAGUUUCUAUAGAAACAAACGGCAUCAGUAUUGAAGCCCUGUACAGGGAGAUAUCCAAGUCGUAAUGCGCAAAGGUCAGGGUAGUCGAUCCCUGUAAGAUGGGAGACUUUGAAUAAUAAACUGUACUAAUUGGCCCGACCAAAAAUUCUAUAAAAAAAUAUGUAGAUGGGAAUAUGAGUCUAGUUUCAGGGAAAAUUUACGGAACUGGAUUCCGAGUUUCUGAACUCAAGAUAUGAUUUUUAAAGCGACUAUUACGCAGAUUGGCAGUGUCUGGAAAAUUUUUAAAGUUUGUUAACACCUCGUGUUCGACUCCGGUGACGGUCUCGGGUUCGGGGUGUUACACCGUCCGAGUCCGAGUCGUGUUAAUAGGGGUAAUUAAAUGAAAUGAUACUGUGAAUGGUAUUGAAAAGCAUUGAAUGUGAAAUGGAAAUGAGAAAUAUGACUUGUGAAAAGUUAUUUGAGAUAGCAAGUGAUGAAUAAUGAAUAAGUUAUGAAUGAUUUGUUAUGAAUUGAUUAUUUGAAUGGUUAUUGAUAUUGUAUGAUUAAACAUGUAUGUUAUAUUAUUUUACUUUAAAUAUUUAGAUUAUAGAAAUACCACUGAGUUUAUACUCAGCGUACGGUUUGUUUUUCGUGCACAGGUUAGGUACUUAAGAGUUGAUCGUCGAUUCAACAUCUAUUAACGAUCCUGAUCUCAAACGUGGUGAUGUAUGUUUCUUUUUGUUUCGGCAUGCACCUAGAUUGUCUAAAGCUUAUCAUUUUGUGGAGUGAUUGUAAUUAGUAUUAUAAGUUGAUAUUGGUUGAUUUUAUAUAUGAAUAUAUGUGUUAUUGAGUCUAUAAUAUGGCAUGUUUAGGUUGAUGCAUGAAUGAACAUGAUAUAGGCAAAAUUUAGGUUGAUAUUGGCAUGGUUUUAAAUUGGUUUUGAUAGAUGUUAUUUGAAAUAUUUAGAUAAUGUUUUUGAAGUAUUUAUAGGGGUACAUUGGUUAGGAAACUAGGUUGAUUGUUUUGGCAUGUUUAAAAGGUAAUUGAUCGUGUUUUGGAUGGGUUGAACGAAUAGUUUUUGAGUUGUUUAGUGUUUAAGCUUGCAGGGAAUGGUAAACUUGUUAUUUAAGGUACAUUUUGGCCACAUGGCCGUGUGAACCCUACAGCUUUGAAAAUUUUUAUUAUUUUUUGAAAAAUUCUCUGAGUUUCCAAAUUAGUGCCAACUUGUUUCUAAUAUGUAAUUUAGGCCUCGAGGGCUCAAAUAAGGGACAAUAUGUAUGAGUUUGAUUAGUUUUGUCUUUAAUAUUAUAUGAUAUGAAAUGCUUGAAAUUAUGUCUGUUUGAUCGAUAAUACUCCAUAAUCCUAUUCUAGUGACAGAUGUGGGUUAGGGGUGUUACAAAUAAUUUUUACCAUAAUAUGUUUACCUUCUCAUCAAUUUAUGCCUGAAAAGGCAAGAAGGCAUUCACAGAUUUAUUAGCCAUGCACAUUUGGCGUGACAUGUAACACUCCUCACCCGGUCUGGUCGUCAGACUUGGGUAAUAGGAUGCUUCAACUAAAUACCAUACAAUUACAACAAAUUGUAAUUUUAAAAUCUCAAUUAAAUAUCAAACAAAUCAUAAUUAAUUAAAUUAAUAUGUGUUUCAAUCAGUUACGGGUUAACAUCGAGCUUAUGGAAGGUUAAAACUAAGUAGACAAUCAUUUUAGAUCAAUUUGAAACAAAUUUAAAAAGAUAAGAAAAAUAUGAAAAUAGGGGACACACGACUGUGUCCCGAGGUCGUGUGGAAGGGUUGAGGCUGCGUGGAUGGAUCACAUGACAGUGUGAGUAAACCGUAUAACAACUUGAUGCCGUGUCAAAUGAGGGUCACACAGCCGUAUCGCCAGGCCAUGUGACAAAGUUCAGCCCAUGUGGCUCAAGAAUAUGGUCGUGUGGCCAGAUUGUGUACAAUUUGAAUAGAGGGUCACAUAGCCAUGUAACUUCCUGAGACCGUGUGGACAAAUGUAACACCCUGAUUUUGGGCCUAGUCGGAACAAUAAUUUCGGGACCACAAAUUUGAUGACGAAAAUUUUAUUUUUAUUAUAUUUUUAUGGUCUACGAUUUCACAGAAUAAUUUUGUGAAAAUUUCGUUCGAAAAUUUUGACGUUCGGGCACUUAAUUUAGUCAAAAGGACUAAAUUGUAAAAAGUGCAAAAGUUGAGUUCUACAUACUAGAGGUAUCCAAUUGUUAUGAAAUUUUAAAUUGAGGGUCCUUAAAUGGUAAUUAUACCAUUGGUUAAUUUCUGGACAAAAAUAGACAUGAAAUGGGUGUAAUAAAAUAUUUUUAAGUUAGGGGUAUUUUGGUAAACUAAUAAUUAAAAGAAUUAAAAAGGGAAAUAAGCCAAAUUAGCUAUAGUCUUCUUCAUUCAACCGUUUCUACUAGCAGCAGCCAUGGUUAAGGUUUGUUCAAACUCCCAAGCUCGAUUGUAAGUGCUCCCUAGCCCCGUUUUUAAAGUUCUUUACAUUUUUGAAAUUCCGGUAACUUGGUUAAGCUUAUUCUAGCAAUAAUUUAACCUAGGGUUUAUAUUUUGAAAAAUACCCAUAGGUGAAAUGUGUUUAUUUUGAUGUUUUAUGGUAGAAUAUGAAGCUUGAAAUUGUGUUAAACAACUUUUACUAAGCGAUUUUACGUGAAAACGAGUAAAACGACAUAAUCGGUAAAAAUACCUAAUGUUCAUAAGUACAUGUUAGAGUGCGAAUUUGAUGUUGCUAUAGAAGGGAAAAAUGAUCAGCAUGUCAUAAAAAAUAAGGAAAUAGGAUGAAGUUUAAUUUACGAGCCUAGGGGCAAAAAUGUAAUUUUGAAAAAGUUUAGGGGAAAAUUUUUAAUUUUUCCAAAAUAUGAUUUUGGGUUAAUUUGAAUAAUGUGAGUCCUAAUUAGGCUAUAUUUGAAAUGAUAGAGCAAGGAAAAAUCAAAAUUCGGGCUAAAAUCAGAAAUCAGGUUGUGGACAAAAUGGUAAAAAUGGCCAUUUUCGCAUGCGAGGUAAGUUCAUAUGAUUUUUAAUAAUGCAAUGUGUAAUUUAAUGUUAUUGCCUUGAUAUUAAACGAGAUGUAAGUUCAUGUGUAAAUGUGGUAACAUAAUUGUUAUUUUAGGUAAUUUAAUGUUAUUUAUAUGAUAUAAUGAUUAUUAUUAUGAAAUAUUAUGCUUUGUGGAUUAUUAUUUAGUAAUAUGCAAAUUAUGUGAGCUAUUUGAUAAAUAAGAAAUGCUACCAAGUAUCGGUUCCAACAUUUCGUGGAAGACGGCAAAGAUGUGUGAUUGAAGAAAAUCCCAUUUGAACCUUGGGAAUAGAUUAGGAUACAAGUGACAUGUCAAAAAGAUAUUUGAGUUCCGAACUCGUUGAGUUGAGUCCGAGUUCGUGAGAUGUAACUAGGCAUCCGAACUCAUUGAGUUGAGUCUGAGUUCACUUAUGGAUGCGCACACCUGAGCUCGUUGAGUUGAGUCCGAGUUCACUUAUGGGUGGGUGACAUGGUAGCUUGGCUACACAUAUAUUCCGCAGGCUAUUGAGUUUGUCUAGCUGUGGGCAUGGCACUUAUGUGCAUGCAUUCCGUGUAUCCGAUUAUAUUCCGAGUGUUCAACGGGUAAUUUGGCAAAGUAUUCGUUGAUGAUCCCAAUGAGAUAAGCCAUUGGUGAGUAUGUCUUUGAGUUAUGUUACAAGUUGUACAGGUAUGUACACUAAACUUAUGUGUGAUGCCUUGACAUGUGAUGAUCUAUGAUGUAUAUAGUGUUUGGUCAAUAUUAUGAAAAUGACAUGAUUUGGAAUAAGUCCUUGAUACUUGAUGACAUUGAGAUUAUGGAUUUAUGCUUAUGAAGCAUAAUUAUGUGUUCUUACCAUUAUGAAUGAAAUGAUAUUGUAUGGAUUUGGUGAAUAAUAGUAAUGAAUGAGUAAAUUUAGCCUUGGCAGUUUUGGAUUACUGCAGUGGUGAAACUUUGAAAAUUCACCAUAAAUUGUGGAAAUUGAAUUAGGGACUGAAUAAAAUAUGAGGUUAAAGCCCAAUAAGUCUAGUUUCACAUAGAAGAAACAGUAUAUGCAAUCGAAAUUUAUAUUAUGAGAUAUUUAAAUUGUUGUGAGACAGAGUCUGAAUGAGAGAAUUAAAAAUUGUAUAAAAAUAAUUUUUGGUUGUAAUUUAUAUUAUUAAAUGAGAGCAUUAUCCGAAUUCUGUACUAUGAGAAAAAUAAUUUUUAGUGAAGAGAGGUCAGAACUGUUGGACAGCAAAACAGGGGAAACUUUAAUGAAUAAACUGUACUAAUUUGCUAAACCAAAACUUUUGGAAAUUUUAUGGGAGAAAGAUAUAUGAGUCUAGUUUCAAGGAAAAUUAACAAAACUUAAUUUGGAGUCUCGUAGCUCUAGAUAUAAAUGAAUUAGCAACUGUAAUUCGGUAAAACAGCUUAACCUGAACAAGAGUAAAUUGUACAAUUAUGAUGUUUUACCUUGGAAAAAAAACAUGUGGGUAAUUGCUUAUUAACUUCAUAUGGACUUACUAAGCGUAAAGCUUACCCCUCAUCUCUACUUCUUCAGUUUUGGCAGAUCAGCUCGGGGUUAGAGACCGUCGGAGGUAAAAUCACACUAUUAAGCUAUCAUUUUUGGGAGAAUUAAUCCAAAUAUUAGAAAUAUCAAGUGAGUGGCAUGUAUAGGAAGUUGGUUUGUGAUAUGUAUGAUUAUUAUGACUUUGACCAUACGUAUCGAUCUGCAUUGAGUUAUCGUAUAUGAUUAUGAGAUGUGGUCCUUAUCCAUUAUGGUUUGUAAGUUUAAUUAAUCAUGCCAUGUCCUAUGUUUUGAUGUGAUGAUAUAGUUAGCUUUGUUUGUUAUACAUGAUUGGUAAUACAUCAGGUAAGUUAAAUGCAGGCCAGUGGAUCAUGAAUUAAAUGGAAAUAAGUAAUGUUGCCUUGAAUAUGGAUGUUUAAUGGACAAAUUGGUAACGACAUUAUGAUGGUAUAAAAUGAGAAUAAGAUUUAGCAUGUCUAGUUCUAGUUAAUGUAAGAAUGUAUAUUAUAUACAGGAUGGUAAGCACAUAUGUUUAAAGUGAAUGGCAUGUUAUUGCAUGAUUAUGGAUGUGUAAGUGCUCAUUUAUGCCACAUUAUAUAUCUUUAAAUAUGAGUCUAUGCAUGUGUUCAAAAAGUUUUGAAUUAAAUGAAAUUUUAUGGCCCGAUUUUCGUUUAUGUGUAUGGUUAAUUCUGGUAAUGCCUUGUACCCUGUUUCGGCCUUGGAUACUGGUAAGGGGUGUUACAACAAACCUGCACCAAAUUUAAAUAGGCCACAUGGUCAUGUGGACUGGCCGUGUGGGACACAAGGCUGUGUGGUAGACCGUUUCCUAGGCCAUGUGCACCUAAAAUAACUUCAAACUUAAGCCAUUUCACCUACCAUUGCUUGGUUACCAAGCUAUACCAUUUUCAACUAUAAUUACCCAUUACAAAACAUGCCAAAUCAUGUCAAAACAUGCCAAAUACCAUUCAACCUAAGUGCCUAACCAAUAUGUCCACAAAUGCACCUCAAAUCAAAACAACCAAAAUGAAUAUGCUCAAACAUAACAAUUCAUUAACAUUAUAUGACACUUUCUCAAUCAUUUACUUAAGCAUAAAUAAUCUUUAAAUCAACUCAUGUUUUAACAUCAAAUAUAUCAAAACAUACCAAACAUCCUUCCACAUCUAAGCAUCAACCAAGAACAUAUAGCAUAACAAGACAUUUCUCUCAACCGUAAGGAUAUCAAGUAUACAAUUCAAGCAAUCUAACAAGUCAUCAACCCAAUACCAUUACCUUCUCAUAUAUGUAUAUAUAAACAUAAUAAGCAAGACCAUCAAGAUACAAAAUGAACUUUAUAACCAAAAGACUUCCUAGGUACAUGCCAAAACCAAAAUAAGAGUAUCACCAACACUUGAGUUCGGGACUAUCGCUGGAUACUGAAUCGACGUACAUACCAAAUGGUACCUAACUUGUGCAUGGAAAACAAAAUCGUACGCUGAGUAUAACUCAGUGGUAUUUCUAUAAUCUGAACAAUAAGUAUAAUAUGAAACAAAAAUGAGCAUAACUUUAUAAUGAAAAUAAGAUGCAAAUCAUCAAGCCAAAUAUGCUAUUUCACAUAAUCAUGUACUCAAAACCAUCUUAUUUCUCUUAUAUCAACUUAAGUCUAUCACAUUUUGCAAGUUAAUAAUCAUACAAAUCGUAUAAGAUACAUUUCAUCUCAAAAUCCAAUUUCAUGAUUUUAUGGAAUAUAACAUAUUAAUGUUCUCAAUUCAAUCCACAAUUCACAUUUCAUUUUCCAUUUCCAAUUUCAUUUAUUAUUAUAUUUUCCAAAUCAAAAUCAUAUAAUCCAUUUCGUUCUUUAUAUCUCUAUUAACACGACUCGGAUGGAUACACGGAUCCAACCAACAUACCAAUUUGGCACCCACUACCUCACCGGACAAAUCUGAAGAAAAUAGUUGUGCCCAAUGCUAUCAAAUAUAUUGACCCCAAUGUAAGCAAAUUGGUACCCAGUGCCUUAUUGACUCGUAGUCGAAGAAAACCCUAAACUCUUUCUAUCCUAUGGCAUGCCAAUUAUAUCCGAAUCUGUCCGAACAGUUAAUAAGGUUUCCAUUACUUAUUUCAUUCUCAAUCCAUGUACCAAUUCGCAAUAAUUACAUCAUUAACUCAUUUAUACAAUCAUAUAAUAACAUAAAACAUUUCAUUAUACAUUCAAUUCUACAUUUACAUGAAUACACAUAUCUUUCACAAAUGCUCAAAUUAAUCCUCAAUAACACCAAUCAUUUUUACCAAUUCAAAUACAUCUAAAUUUCCUAAAUAGACUCACAUUAUAUUCUUACCAUACAAACAAAAUUCAAAUGCAGCAAUUUACGAGUAAUUCGAAUCAUAAAAACACAAACCAUAAACUCUGAGCUAUUCAUCGACGACUUUGUCUUUUCCUUUCUUUUCCGAAGAAUUCAGGUCAAUGCUAGCUAUGGGUUAAAACAAAAAAACACAUUUCAUCAAUACACAAAAAAUUUCACAUUUAAUUGAUAAUUAAAUAGACUUUUAUAUUUUAUUCAAUUUAGUCUUUAAAAUAGGGACUGACAUAACUUCAACAUUCAACCUCAAAUUUUUAUACCAAUUUCACUCUAAGCCAAAAUUAACUCCCUAUUUCUUAUUUUUAUCCCAAAAUUUUAAUUUUUUUCAAUUUGGUUCUUAUUCCACAAAAUUAACCAUUGAUUUUAUAAUUUAGUCCUUUUUCACUUCUAACCUAAAAAUCUGUCAAAUUGGUCCUUGAAACUUUAACUAUUCAACUAAAGUAUCAUUUUCAAAUUUUAAAAAUAACAAAUAAUACAACAUGAGCCAGCUAGCUCGAAGUACUGAGAUGUCAAAAACAAAAAAAUUAUGAGAAAAUGACUAAAUUACACUAACCAAUUAAAGUUUGAAAUUUGGAAGCCCUUGUCGUUUCAUCUUCUCCCCUAAGCUCUUUGCUUCAAAAUUUAAACAUGAAAAGGGAAAUGUUUUUGUUUCCCUACUACUUAAUUUUAUGUCAUAAUAUUUUAUUAUAUUAUGAUUUUGUAACAUAUAUUAAGAUUAAUUAUAACAUAUAUAACAUAUAUAUUAAUAAUUUAUCUCAUGACCGUCCACUACAAUAAGAAUAAAUUUUUAAUUUCUUUUUAAGUCCCUUAGCUAUGUUUUACCUUAUAAUUUAAUAACAAUUCACACUUUUAUCACUUAUGCGAUUUAGUCCCUUUCGCUAAAUAAGCCUUAAUUCAAUACAAUUACCCGACUAAAAUUUAAUUCACUUCUAACAUAACUCUAUAAAUAUUUAAUUAAAAAAUUUACGAGUUUAGUUUACAGAAAUGGGAUCCUGAAACCACACUUUUUGACAUCACUAACUUUCAGGUCGUUACAUUACAUUUAUUCCUACCUAACUUAAAAAAAUAUCAGUAUAUUUUUAUAAUAAUAUAUAUUUUACCUUUCAUUGAAGUAUGUUUAAAAAGGCUAGAAUGUGCUCGCUCAUUUACUGACAAGUUAUACAUGGCGCGGCAUGUAUUCCUGUGCAACUCGUAAUAAUAUUAUUAAAUUUUUAUAAUAAUAUAUAUUUUAUGUCACACUCGGUUUUCAUUUAAUUCCCGAAGUAAAAACAGAGUUGGGAGUUACUUGAAUAAAAUAGUAAGUCGAAAAGAUCUACUGGAAAACUUGGACAUAUUUGUUGUUGAUUAGUGAAUGGUUGAGUCUUAAUUCUAGUUAAGUUAGAAUGGAAUUGGUUGGUUCCUUAGUAGGAGACAAAAUGAUUACUGAUGAAUGGUUAUUUGAGGUAUUAGACCAUGCGCAAGAAGGGUUAUAUAAAUGUGAGUGAAGAGGAUUACUCGGGUGGAAAAAUUCUUCUCAUUUCGGUUUUGUUUUCUUUCUUUCUAUACCAUCUUCUUUGAUUGCUCCGAAGAAGAGAAAGUUGAAGAAAACACUGCAUAAAGUAGUAAUUGUGAGGUUGAGGUCAGGAAGUGGAGAAUCUAAGGAACUAGUAAGCCUUUCUUUCUUUCUAUAUUCGUGGGUUAGAGAAAGGGGAGUAAGAAUUUCUGAAAUCUCUAGGAAGCUUCUGAGUGAUACUAAAUUUUGGGUUUUUAAGGUUUGAAAAUUUUGGUUUAACCAAUAUAUUUUAGUGUCGUGUUUAGCUUCCAAGACAAAGGAGGCUUUGGCAUUUGGAAAAGCUAAGCUGGCGAGGACAAAGGAUUUAAGGUGAGUUUUUGUACCCUACUUUUGGGGUGAUUGAUGGAUGUUGUGCUACUUUUGUGAUAUGUGUCUAUGUCUGCUCUGAGGUCUGUUUGAAUCCUAUGGUUGUACAUGAUUGUGGGGAAUGAGCAUGUCAUGCGUGCAUAAGGUUGUGUGAAUUCAUGAAAUCUAUAAGUAUGUUCUGUAUGAUAGAACUGUGUAUUGAUGUAUUGAAGAGUGACAUAUCCUUAUUAUAAUAGUAUUUGGAAUGUUAUGUGUGAAAUUUAUGUUUAUAAAAUGUGGAGUAAGGAGGGACUUACUUUGACGGGUUAGUUGAAUAUAGAAAAAUUUGUGCAAUGGAAGAAGGGGUAGAUUGAUAGGGGAUACAAGGAGGUUUGGCGACAUCGUGGAAUGAAUAUCUAUCGGUCCUUCAAGGCGACACCGUGUUGACAAUUAUCAACUUGUCAUUCUGGGCGACACCAUGUUGAUGGUUAUAAACUGGUCCUUUGUAACAACCCGUUUUCAGUGGUGUUGUAAAUAGUAGUUUCGGGACCAUAAUUCCAACCAGCGAGUUAGUAAAUAUUAUUUAUUUAAUAUUCAUAAUACUAUUAGAGUGUUGUAUUAAAUUUUGGUUUACUAAUUUUGAUGUUUGGAUAGUUAAUUAAGGAAAAAAGGACUAAAUCGUAAAAGCUAAAAAAAUUAAUUGCUAUUAGUUUAUAUGUGUUAAAUGGAUAUAAAAACAUGAAUUGAGGGCUUUAAAAGGUAAUUAGACAUUAAGUAAUUUUAUUGGAUGGUCAUGAUGUGUUAAAUAAGGAAAUUUUAAUUAAAAUUAAAGGGUAAAAAGGUAAUUAAUUAAUUAAUUAACAUAAACAAAACAAGUAAAAAUUGUCAUCUUCUUCACUUUCAUUUGGUAAAACCAAAAUCACAUUUUUAUCCCAAGCUAGUUUUCUUUGCGUAUAAGUCAAUUUUGAUCCCAUUUUUUGUAAUUUUUAUGUUUUUGAUAUCGUUGUAGCUUAAUCUAGCUUGUUCAGGGACUAUUUUGAAAAACUAUUAUAGGUUUGAAAAAUCACCAUUGAUGAAUUUGAAUCUUUUAGAUGUUAAAUGAUCGAGCUUGAUGAGUUGUUUUGAUAUGAGAUUGUUUUGUAAAGUGAAUUUGGUUAGUUUUAAGUUUAGGGACUAAAUUGAUAAUAUAUUGAACUCAUCAUGAAAUUAUUAUAAAAUUUCAUUAAUUAUGGGUUGUAAGAGAGUCAAAGAGAAUUCAGCUAACAUGUUUUGGGUUUAAUUGUGAUAAAUGUAUAAGUUUCAAUUUUAGAGACUAAAUUGAAUAAAAGGUAAAAAUUUAGGGUAAUAAUGUAAAUGUUAUUAAAGAGUCAAAUGCAUGUAUUAAGAUAUUUUAAGGUACUUGAAUUAGUUAAUUGAAUUAAAUUAUUAUAUUGAUUAAGAAACGGAUCAAUCGGUCGAUAACUGCAGAAAAGAAAAAAAUUGUUGAGUAGUCAUCGGUGUGGUUUCUGCGAGCAUUGCACUUAGGAGAAAUAAACACAAGUAAGUUUUGAUUCAAUAGUACAUCGAACAAAAGGGACUCUUGACUAUAUCCAUUCUGAUUUAUGGGGUCCAACUCUUGACAUCUCAAAAGGAGGUAAUAAAUAUUUCCUAGCUUUCAUUGAUAAUCACUCUAGAAAAUUUUGGAUCUAUUUUUUGAAAUAGAAAAACAAAGUUUUUGGAAUCUUCAAGUAGUGGAAAACGCUAUUAGAGAAAUAGACUAGAAAGCCUAUGAAGCAAUUGAGAAUGGAAAAUGGUCUCUAAUUCUAUUCAUCAGAGUUUAAUGAUGAUUGCAAAUGGGAAGGAAUAGAAAGACAUCACACUGUUGUAGGUACUCAGCAGCAGAAUGGAGUUGCUGAAAGAAUGAACAAAACUUUGCUCUAAAAGCCCUGAUGAAUGCUUUCUAACGUAGGUUUAAGGAAGGGGUUUUGGGUUGAAGUCGUAAACUUGGCAAGCUAUUUGGUAAACUGAUCUCCCCAUCGAGCAUUUAACGGUAAAGUUUCAGAAGAGAUAUGGUCAAAUAAUACUCCCAAUUAUUCUAACUUUAGAAUUUUGUAUUAUCUUGCUUAUGCAAAAGUUAGCUAAGGAAAGCUUGAACCAAUGGCCAUUAAUUUCAUAUUUCUAGUAUUCUCUGCCGGUACAAAAGGUUUUAAAUGUGGUGCUCAGAAACAAAAAAAAAUAAUCUUUAACAGAGAAGAUAUGUUUUAUGACUCUGCUAUGAUUCGUUUAGAAAGAGGGAUCACUUACAUUUAAAAACUCAACAAAUCAGAGUGUCUCAAGCAAAGUGGAGUAGAAGGAAGAAAUAGUGGUUGACGUCAUGACGAGAGGAAACAAGACAUCGCAACAUCACAACAAACAUAAACGAUGUCGUGACGAGGAAACAUAGAAUGUUGCGAUGUCAUAGAAAAAUUAUGAUAUUCGUGAUCAUAAUGUUAUUUAGGAUUAUUUGGGACUUUAUCCGACUCACAGGUAGUCUCACCAUCUAAGAAAUAUUGUGAUAGGAAAAUGUUAGAAAUUCGACCACCACAAAAAUAUUGUGAAAGGAACCUAGUGGCAUAUGCACUAAGUGUUGCAAAGAGCAUUGAUUCAAUCAAUCCUUCAUGUUAUUCCAACAUAGUUCAGACCUCAGAUUUUAGUAAAUGGCUCAUUGUUAUGGAAGAAGAGAUGGAAUCACUUCAAAAGAAUGAGACUUGGUGACUAGUAAAACCACCAAUCGGAAAGAAAAUAGUUGGUUGUAAAUGGGUGUUUAAGAAAAAGGAAGGUUCGGGUUCGAGCGACAGUAGGUAUAAGGCAAGAUUUUCGUAAAGGGUUACAUUUAAGUGAAGGGAGUUGAUUUUCAUGAUGUUUUCUCUCCAGUCGUAAAGCAUAUGUCCAUUAGGGCGCUUUUGGCCCCUUUUCCAUUAAAAAAAUAUUGAGUUAGAGCAAUUAGAUGUAAAUAAUACUUUCCUUCAUGCUGACCUCAAGGAAGACAUCUACAUGCUAUAACCGGAAGGUUUCAGAACCAAAGGUAACAAAGAUCAUGUUUUCCUUCUAUGAAAAUCAUUAUAUGGUAUAAAACAGUGUCCUAAGUAGUGGUACAAAAAGUUUGACUCCUUCAUGUUAAGUAUUGGUUUCGCACAAAGUAAUCAUGAUAAUUGUGUGUAUUUACAAUAUUUAGAUAAAGGUUCAUUCAUAUAUUUGCUGCUUUAUGUUGAUGAUGUGUUGAUAGCAGCUAAGGAUCCGUUAGAAAUUGAACGACUUAAAACCUUACUUAACUCUAAAUUUGAGAUGAAUGAUCUAGGUGCAACAAAGAAAUUGUGGGGAUAAAAAAUUGAAAGAAUAGACGUUUCAAGAAAUUAUUCUUGUCGUGACAAAGGUACAUCAAGAAGAUCCUUGAGCGAUUUGAGAUGCAAGACUCAAAAUCGGUAAGUACUAUAACAAUCCGUUUUCAGUGAAAUCGGAAUAGUGGUUUCAGGACCACAAAUAUAAACUAAAAAUAUUUAUUUUAUUAUUAUUUUAGUGUCCCAAACAUGAUAGUAGAGUCAUAUGAAAAUUUCGUUAAGAAAUUUUAACGUUUGCAUGCUUAAUUCGAUAAAAAGGACUAAAUUGCAUAAGGUGCAAAAGUGGAGUUCUAGUAGCUAAAGGUAUUAAAUAUGGACACUUAUUUAAUGGUUUUAAAUGUUAAUAAUUAAUGUUAAAGUUGUAAUUUAAUAAAUAAACUAAGUAAAAUAAUGAAAACAAAAAUGUCAUAUUGUUGGUUUAUCUUUUUGAACCAAAAAUAAAAGUGAAAAACUCCAUGGAAGGAACUUGUGCAUUCGGCUAGGGUUCUCUAAUGCAUGUAAGUGAAUUUCAGUCCCAUUUUUAAUGAUUUAUAUGUUUUUGGAGUCGUUGUAACUUAAUCUACUAGCCUAGGAUUAAAUUGUGAAACAGUUAAAGUAUUAGGGUUUUACCAUUGAUGAAUGUAUAUUUUUUUUAUGUUUGAUGAUAGAAAAUGAAUAGUUGUUGUUAGAUAAACAAGUUUGGUAAAGUGAUUUUGAGUGAAAAUGUUAAAUAGGGAUUAAAUUGAUAAAAUGUGAAAAUUAUGUGGUAAAUGUGUGAAAUAAUGAAAUGUGUGGGCUGCUAUAGGUCUAUAUAGAAUUUGACUAGCAUGGGUGUAGAUUAAAUUGCAUGAAUUUGCAUUUUUAUUAGCUAGGGACUAAAUUGUAAAGUAGUCAAAUGUUUAGGGGUAAAAUGGUAAUUUUGCCAUAACAUGAAAUUGAAUUGAAUUGAAUAGUAUAAAAUAUGAAUUAAAGUGGUUAAAUUUGAUUAUAUAAAUCAAGAAAAGCCACGUUCGAAAUUAGAUCGGGGGAAAAAUAAAGUAUUGGAUUGAUCAGUCAAUUUUCUCUGUAUUAAUUCGAGGUAAGUCGUAUGUUAAUAAGCAUUAAAGUAAUUUGCGUUUUAAAUACUUUAUUAUUGCAUACUUGAUGAAUACCACUUCACAGAAAUACUUGACGAAUAUUUGGCGACGUAUUAAAUCCCGGUUGAACUUUAGGAAUAGAUAGGAUACGAAUGAUAUGUUAUUAGGGGUUACCGUGUUUUGGGUGCUGGUCCUAUACAUUCUACUAGUGGCUGAGUUUUAAGGCAUAUGUUGCAGUUACUCGUCAGCUUGUGUGAGCAGCACCGUGUAGCUACGUCUUGACCGUCAGAUUGUGUGAGCAAACCCGAUAAUGGCUCGAGAGUGAGCAUCUAUACGAGAUAUGAGAUAGAGAUGGUUUCGACCAUGUAUUGACAUUUUGGUUUGCGAGUUACCCGAGUAUCCGGUAUUAUUCCAAAUGGUUCAAUGGGCAUAGUGAUGUUACGAAAGUAGAUGAAUUCAAUAUAAACCAGUACAUGUAUGUACGUAAAUCAUGUGAGAAUUGAAUCCAUGAGAUUUGUGAUUUCAUGUCUAACUUUGUGGAUGGAUAUAUGUUAGGCUUGUAGAUCAAAUUGAGUUGCAUUAUAUUAUGUUUAAUUACUUAAAUUGUGAUUAAAUGGUAAGAUGAGUUUUAUGCUAUACUGUAACAGCCCGAUUUUAGGCCUAGUCGGAACAGUGGUUUCGGGACCACGAAUUUGACAUAGUGAAACUUGUUUUUUAUUAUAUUUUUAUGGUCUACAGUUUUAUAGAAUGAUUUCAUGAAAAUUUCGUUCGAAAAUUUUGACGUUUGAGCACUCAAUUUAGCAAAAAGGACUAAAUUGUAAAAAGUGAAAAACUUGAGUGCUAGAGGUGUCUAAUUGUUAUGAAAUUUUAAAUUAGAUGUCCUUAAAUGGUAAUUAGACCAUUUUCUAAGUUAGUAGACAAAAAUAGACAUGAAGUAAGAUAAAUUUUAUGUUUUAAGUUAGGGGCAUUUUGGUCAUUUGGCUUAUAAAUGAAUUAAAAAUCAAAUUAAAAGCCAAAUCUUGUCCAUCUUCUUCCCAUGGCUGAAAUUCUCGAGGGGGAACCAUAGCUAGGGUUUGUUCAUCUUCCAAGCUCGAUUGUAAGUCCGUUCUAGUCCCGUUUUUAAUUAUUUUUAUGUUUUUGAGAUCUUUGUAACCUAAUCUAGCUAUUUCAAGGACUAAUUUGAAAGAAAAUCAAAGUCUAAAAUUUUACCCAUGAAGAAUUUUUUUGCAUUUUGAUGUCUAAUGGUAGAAAAUGUGUGUUUGGUUUAUGAUAAACAACUUUUGCUAGGUGAUUUUUGAUGAAAAUGUCAAAAGGACCAAUUUGUAAAAAGGUUAUAAAAUGUGUGUAAAAGUGUGAUUAAAUGAAAAACAUGGGCUGUUAUAAGCAUAAAAGAGGUUCGGAUAAGCUUGGGAGUCAAAGAAAUUGAAUCUAUUUCAAUUUACGAGCCUAGGGAUCAAUGUGUAAAAAUGUCAAAGUUUAGGGGCAAAAAUGUAAAUUUUCUCUAAUAUAAAUUUUGAACUGAAUUGAGUAAUGUUAAUAAUAAAUGAGUCGAAUUUUCUAUUAUAGAUUAAGAGAAACAAGGUUCGGACCUAGAUCGAGGGAAAAACAAAGUGUUUGACAAUUAGGUCUCUUUUUUACUAUUUUUGUACUGAGGUAAGAUCUUAUGUAAAUAAUGUAUUUUUUUAAAUAUGUUUUAAAUACUUUACUAUUGUAUGAAUUAUGAUUGACCAUUGAGCGUGUUCGAUAAAGUUACGAUAAAAGUGAAAUCCCGGUUGAACCUUAGGAAUAGAUAAGAUACAAAUGUCAUGACAUUAGGGUUACUAAGACUAUGUGUAAGACCAUAUCUGAGAUAUGGCAUCUAUAUGAGACUUCGUGUGAGACCAUAUUUGCGAUAUGGCAUCGAUAUAAGACUUCGUGUAAGACUAUAGCUGGGAUAUUGGCAUCGAUACGAGAUCCUAUGUAAGACCAUAUCUGGGAUAUGGCAUUAGUCUGGUACCGUGUGUACGGAACUCCCAAGUAUCCUUUAGUAUUCCAAGUGAUUCAACGGGUAAUUUAAUGAGUAUAUCAAAGAUGAAUUGUGUGUAAAUCCAAUUAGAGAUGACUUAGUAUGUACGAAAACUCAUACGUGAUGAGCUCGUUAUGUGAAUAACCCUCAAUAAGGUUAUGAUUGAGUAAGUUAUGAUUAUAAGAUCUUGAUAAUAUUUAAUGUUAAUUGGAUGUUAAAUGUUGGUUUAUGAUGCCUAUUAUUUGCAUGUGAACUUACUAAGCUAUAUAUCUUACUCCCAUUUUCUUUCCAUUGUCUUAUAGUGUCACCAAGCUAGCUCGGGGAUUGAAGACUGUUGGAGAUCCACUCACACUAUCAACUGAUUAUUUUGGGUACCAAUGAAUUUGACAUUUUGAGUUAUGAGGUGUAUAGGGACUUGGUUAUUUUGUUAUGUGUCAUAAUUGAAUUGGCCUAAUACGUUGGCCUAUAUUGGUUGAUAAUUCAUUUUGUAAAUGGCCAUUGAAAUUGGAUAAUAUUGGUUUAAGUAUAUAUGCACAUGAUGAUAUUUUCAUGGAUGUAGAAAUUUUUAUGGUUUAAGUUGAUAAGUAUGUGAUGAUUGUAUUUGAUAAAUGGUAGCAUGUGAAUGAUGUGUGGAUGUCUUGAUUGUGGCUGAAUUGGUCGAAUGUAAUUGCUUGGAUUGGUGUUAUGUUUUGUUCUGUAGGUGCGUGCAUGGAAGGGUGGCAAAAUGACUUGGUAAAUAACCUUAUUUUUAUCCACACGGGUAUGUGUCUAGGCCGUGUGUGAUACACGGCUUGCCCCAUCGGCGUGUGUUCCGGCCGUGUGUCCCUGCACCUUAAUUGUUGCAAAAUAGAAUGCUCAAAAUUGAGCACAUGGGUGGAGACACGGAUGUGUGUCUCAACCGUGUAGAUGACACGGCCUCAGGCACGGGUGUGUGCCCUGGGCGUGUGAAGUCCACACCUAUUUUAUGAAAAAUUAUGAAAAUUAAAUCGACCACAUAGCCUAGCACACGGGCGUGUGACUUGGCCGUAUGACUUCAAUUUGUUCUUGGGUGACAAACAGAGAGUUACACGGGUUAGGGACACGGGUGUGUGUGACCACACGGCCUGUCCACACGGGCAUGUCCCUAGCCACAAGGGCAUGUGGCUCUUAAAACAUGAAAAAUUUUCUAAGUGUUGUGAAAUUUUCUAAAAUUCUCGGUUUAGUCCCGAACCGCUUCCAAUGCAUGUUUUGGACCUCGUAGGUUCGUUUUAGGGACGAUAUGAAUGUAUAUGAAAAGAUUUAAAUUUGGAUGGAAAUUUACGUCUCAAUUUUGUAUGUUUGCUUGUGUAUAAGUCCGAUAAUGCCUCGUACCCUAUUCCGAUGUUGGAUACGAGUAAGGGGUGUUACAUAUACAAACUUACUAAGCUUAAUUGCUUACUUUGUUUACUUUUUUGUGUUCUAUAGUAAUUCGAAAGCUCGCUUGUUUUGGAAGUUCAAACUCUUAUUUUGGUACUUUUGGACUUUAUGUAUUUUGGUUAUAUAACAUGUAUAGGUCAUUUGGCUAUUGGAAGCCUAUAUGUUUUGUUAUGUAAUUAGCCAUUUAAUGUGGCUUGAUUUGGUAUAUGUUAGUAUGUAUGUAUAUAUAUGUGUGGCUAGUCUCAUAUUGUAUGAUUUAUAAUUUCCAUAGGAAUGCUUUGAUUGUGUAUUGGUAGAUUAGUACAUAAUAGUUGAACUUGAAAAAUGGUGUGCAUGUUAUAUUUAAGCAAGAUAGUGCAUAUAUGUAAUUGACCAUUUAGGUAGUUUUUGAAGGUGAUUUUGGCAUGUUUUAAAAUGAUCAUUUGAGAUACCAAGAACUUAGGAUUGUUGGUAAUGAAAUUGCAUGAUAUAGACUUGGUUGUGGUUGGUUUGAAUGCCUAUUGAUGAUAUAGUCAUAUGUUAUUUGGUAUGUGUAGGUUGAUACCACAUUGGGUGAGAAAUAAGGCUUGGAAAAUGGCCUAUUUUUGUCCACAUGGGUAGAGACACGGGCGUGUGUCUCAGCCGUGUGUUACAUAAGGCCAGAUGACACGGUCGUGUGUCCCGUGAUACUUAUUUAUAAAACAAGUCAGCAGCUUCACACGGCCUAGCACACGGCUUCGCACACGGGUGUGUGAGGCCACUUUGAAAAGUAUACGGCUUGGCACACGGGCGUGUGAUCUGGCCGUGUGACCCAAGUCAGUGAGUUACACAGGGUUGGACACGGACUGGGACACGGUUAUGUGAUCCCAUUUUGAAUGUCCAUACGAGCUAUGACAAGGGGCAACUGUCGUAUAUUGUAAUAGUUAAAGUGCCAUACAUCUCACCAAGGAUCAAAUGUACCAUAUAACUUUGUUUGAGAGGUGAUCAUUCAAGGAAAAUUUUAGAUUCACAAAAAUGGCACAGAACACAAUCUGACCAACAUGUUGACAAAAAGCCUUCUAGUUUCAAAGUUCAAGCAUUGCUUGGACUUGGUAAGUAUCCGACAAAGAUCCAAUUAGGCCUAUAAUAGGGCUUGACAAAGGAGUUAAGUAAAAGACGAGUCAAGGUGGAGAUUUGUGGAAGUGUGCCUCGCAUUUAGACCAAAAUAGCAAGAGAUGUCUUGGCGAGUUAAAGCUUGAUGUUGUGAUGAACAAAUGACGUCACGAUGAGAAGAGAAUCUUCAUCCCGACAACACGAUCGUUCUUCGUCCCAAUGACGCAAAAGCCACGUGGCAAUGUGGCAACGUGUUCCUUAAGUUUCUUGGUUUUCUUCUCUUAGUUAAACUCUGAUUAACCUAGGGAUUCUAUGAAUUUCAGCCUAUAAGUAGGCUAUAGUUACCCUAGGUUUAUACAACAGAAAAUAUACAGAUUGAGAGAAUUCUGUGUUUUUUAGUUUGAAGGAUUUUUCUUUUCUUGAUUCUCUCCAUCUUUGUACUUCUUUUCUAUUAAUAAAAUCUCCUUUUACCCGUGAUUUUUUUGUCCUCUUCAUAAGAGUUUUUUUCAUGAAAAUUUGUAUAUUCGAUCUUUUCAAUUUCUACUUUACUAUUGUUGUUAUUGAUUUAUCCCCAACAAAGACAAAAGUGAAUUUAUUUGUAAAUUGGUAUUAUACUUUAGCGGCAUACACGUUCAUAAGUUUUUACAAGUUGGAAUAUGCAAUAUUUAUGGCAAUACUCAAUCGUUGUGUAAUUAGGAAUAAUUUUCAUAAUUUUUUGACAAUUUGUAAAAAGAAAUAUAUUUAAAAAAACUAAUAAUGCAUAAAUGAUAUAUUGUUUUUUUUAAACUUAAUGUAAACGUUAUUUAAAGAAUUCAAUUUGGCAUAAUCGGCUUUAUAUAAAAGAUAUUUUUUUUUGUAUUAUUAUGAUGGCUAAUUAUACCCUUUAUAUCCAUUUUUAAUUUGGCAGUUUUCUAAUUUACAUUUUGGUUCUUCUUGCAAGGAAUAUAUUUAUAGCUUGUUGCGAAUAUUCAGUGCGGAGGCAGGGUCCCGUAACAUAAAAUAUAAAAUUUUUUAUUUAAAAUUUAUGAAAUUUUAAAUUAAUAAUAAUAAAAUUUAAUUUAAUCUUUUAAAAAUUAUAAAGAUAUAAUCUAUUAAAAUGAUAAAAUUAUUUUAUGUUACGAUUUUUUUCUUAAUUUAUCACUGCGAAUAUUAUGUUAUGAUUUUAUAUUAUUUAAGUUUUUAUUGAGUUUCUUUUCCUUAUUUUAUUUUUUUGAAAACUCGACAUUUCUCAUAUAUAGAGAAUCACGUGCGAAACAUGUAACUGUCAUAUGUAAUGUGAUUUAUUUUAUUAGGGUCAAGAAGAUGAAGAUUGAAACAGGAACUUCACAUCGCAAAAUAUCAACAAUUAUGCUAUACAUUUAACUCUACUCAAUUAACAAUUUAUCUAUAAUGCUGAGGUGCCAGUGAAACAUUGGUGCCACUUGUCAGUCAUUGAGGUCUUCAAGAACUGAAAAAUUCUUCUUCUUUCUUCUAAAGAAUAUAUAUUAAAUUUGUCCAGGCAGUCCACUUUUGAUUACUUUGAGCUUUGGUUUUAUUGAAAUAGAGCUUAUAUGGACUUUUCAAGCUAAAUUAAGUUUUAAUUUCGAUGUUUAAUUUAGUUUUAAAAAAUUUAAGUUGAAGUUAGGGUGGUUUAAGGAGUAAAUGGGAUUUAGUUUUACUUUGAUUUUUAGGCUAAAUUAAAUUAAAUUUUUGUUCUUUGUCCCAUUAAAUCAACUUAGGUAAACAAAAUCUAUGGUCACUUUUGUUUACUUUAGAUUAAAUUUCAGUCAUAUCUAUUUGAAAUAUUACAUUUUAGUCACUUACAUUAUUGUGUUGUAAUAUUUUAGUCACUGAACCUUUAAUUGCUGUUAACGAUGUAACAGUAAACUAACGUGACACGUUAAAUUAUCAUUCAAAUAAAAAAUUAGGUUAAAUUAUAUAAUUGAUCCCCAUAUUUUUUUUUGUUUUGAGUAAUUUACUUUUUUUAUGUUCUUUUAAUUUUUUUUUCUAUUCUCUUUUGGUUCUCCCUCCGUCUUCCUAUCUUUUUCAUUUCUUUUAACGUAUUAGGAAGUUGAAUUGGCAGUGAAGAAUGAAGGAGGAAGUCGAAAGCUAUAAUUGCCUAUAACCAAAACCCAUAAACACAUACCAUCUGCUAACUAUCAAAACCCUCCACCACCAUCCGUCAUCUUCAUUUCAUCCAUUAACACCUUCACCACUACCAUGACCUCCUUUCAAAAACAUCUCAAAAAAUCCCUUGGACUACCCAAUAUCGAAUCUCUAUCAUCAGCCAUUAAAUUGACUCGAUUUUCUGAUAUGUACUCCUUUUCAUGAAUACCUCCUUCCUAACUGUUAGGAUUGACAAGAAAGUUGUCGGAGUACCUCGAACCCCUUGACCUGAAUCUAACCCCUCUCUUUUCUCCAUUUCUUUCUCUCUCUCACUCUCGACACUUUUUUUCUUUGUUGCAAGUCUAAUCUUUGGCUCUUUAUGAUUUUUUGGGGCUUAUUAAUUGUUGUUUACUUGGAUUCUUGAUUGAUUUGAAUGUGAGUUUAUUUGGUGAGGGGUGAUAUUAUUGGGUUUGUCAUGAAUGAGAUCAUGGUAGUGGUGAAUGUGUUAGUGGAUGAAAUGAAGAUGAUGGGUGGUGGUGGAGGAUUUUGAUAGUUAGUAGAUGGUAUGGGUUUAUGGGUUUUGGUUAUAGGCAAUAAUAACUUUCGACAUCCUCCUCCUUUCUUCAUUGCCAAUUUGACUUCCAGAUAUGUUAAAAGAAAUGGAGAAGGUAGGAAAACAUAACAAGAAGUAGAAGAGAAUGGAAAAAAAAGGAAAGUUAAAAUAUCAUAAAAGAAAAAAAUUUAAAUUGCUCAAAAAAAAAAUGGGGACCGAUUGUAUAAUUUAACCUAAAAUUUUUGUUUGAAAUGAUGAUUUAAUGUGCCGUGUCAGCUUACCAUUACACCAUUAACAAUAAUUAACGGCAUAGUAACUAAAAUGUUAUGUAACACCCCUCACCCGUAUCCAACACCGGGACAGGGUUUGAAGUGCUACCGGACUUAAACUCAAUCAACUAUAUAAAAUCAGGCCGUAAAAUUUCAAUCAAUUUAAAACUUUUCAUUUCACAUAAAAUUUGUCUCUUGAACGGGCUCACGAGGCCCAAAACAUGCAUUAGAGGCGGUUCGGGACUAAAUCGAGAAAUUAAGAAAAACUUAAAAAAUUUCAUGCUUUAAGGCUCUACACGCCCGUGUGGAUAUAGACCGUGUGGUCACACACGACCGUGUGGUCACACAUGCCCGUGUGGCUUGGGACACGCUCGUGCCCUUAGUUCGUGUGCAACACUGACUUUAAAACACGGCCAUGUCACACGCCCGUGUGACCUACCCGUGUACUAAUCUGACUUAAAAUUUUAAGUGCAGGGGACGCACGGUUGGACAACACGCCCAUGGGAUAGACCCUGUGUCACUCAUGGUCUAGACACACGCCAGUGUCUACCGUCUGGACAAUUACAAGGCUAUUUUCCAAGCCAUUUGUCAGCCUCACAACAUAUGCAUAUAUACUUAUCCAAUGACAUACAACAUGGCAUAAGUGAGCUCUUAAAUAUCUACAAACAUGUUAUGCUCAUGACAAUUUCUUAUGCAAUAAAUAUCAUAGAAUUUACUCACAUCAUUACCACAUACUUGUCAUAAGUAUCAUUACGUCACAAACCUCAUGUCCAUCACUAGGCAUGCAUAAUCAUAUCCACAAACCAUUCAUGAGGCAUUAUUAACUAUUUACCAAUCACUUAAUCUUGCAUCAGUUACUAACUCAUCAAUGACUCUCAAUUCAAUCUCUAGGUAUACAUGUUGUAAGCCCUAUCACAAGAGAUAAUAACAUACAUGCAUAAGAAUAAUCAUAUAGGCCCAUACCGUCAUUAGCCGACAUAGGCCAAUUCACAUGACUAUAUACUACCUUAAUAACAAGCCAAUGCCUUUGGCUAAAUCAUAAUAUCACAUACUCAACAUUAAAACCCUAUACAUGCCAUAGACUCGAAACACUAGGAUUUACUUACCCCGAUAGCGUUAACUCGACAGUGUGAUAAUAUCUCUGACGGCCUCCAACCCGAGCUAACUUGGCAACCCUAGGGAACAUGGGAAAGAAAAUGGGGGGUAAGCUUUACGCUUAGUAAGUUCAUAUGAAAACAAUAAGCAACUCAUUAACAUGUUUUAUCAAUGUUUACAACAUAUUCUCAAGUUCACGACAAGCUGUCUUCCUGAGCAACAGUCACUAAAUUAAUUAUAUCUGGAGCUACGAAACUCCAAAUUAAGUUCUGUUGAUUUUUCUUGAAACUAGACUUAUGUAUCUUUCAACCAUAAAAUUUAUAUAAUUUUUGGUUUAGCCAAUUAGUACAGUUUAUUCCUCAAAGUUACCCCUGAUUCAUUGUCUUACAGUCCCGACCCUUCUGCAUUAAAGUUCAAUUAUCUCAUAGCACAUGACUCGAAUAAUGUUUUUAUCUAUUUCUCUUGAAAAUAGACUCAUUAAGGAUUCUAAAAAUAUAAAUCAUAACUCAUAUCUAUUUUUUUAAAAUUUAUAAUGAUUUUCUCAAUUCAGAACAGGGGAUCUCAAAGUCAUUCUGACUAUGUCCCAUGCAACUUCAAAUAUCUCAUUACAGAAAAUUCUUUUGCUUACACGGUUUCUUUUAUAAGGAACUAUACUCAAUAAGAUUUAUUCCUAUAUUUUAUUCAGAUUCUAACUAAUUUUCCACUAUUUUUAAUGUAUUUUCAAAUUUACACUACUGCAGUAACUCAAAUCUGUCAAGGGUAAGUUAUUCAUGAUCAUUGUUCACAAAAUUAAUACAACAUCAUUUCAUCCAUCAUGGUAAGAACACAUAUUUAUACAUCAUAGAUCAUCACAUGUCAAGGCAUUCUCAUAGGCUUAGUGUACAUACCUGCACAACUCGUAACAUGACUCAAGUGCGUACUCACCAAUGACUUACCUCAUUGGGACCAUCAUCAACUCUUUCCUCGGAUUACCCGUUGAACACUCGGAAUACUAAUUGGAUACUCGGAAAAACCUUUGCACAUAAGUGCCUCAAUUGUAGCUAAAGCUACCUCAUAUCUCAUGACAUUUAAAUGCUCACUCCCGAGCUAGUCAUCUAGACUCAUAAUUCCUAGUGACAUGUCACUCGUAUCCUAUUCUAUUCCUAAGGUUCAAACGAGAUUUUUCCUCGCCUAUUAAGGCUUUGUCUUAUAUAUUUCUGUUAAUCACAUACACUUAAUAUUUGUACAAUUCAUGUAAUGAUAACAUUUAAAUACAUGUAUAGCAUGGUAUUGUUUACAUAUGAACUUACCUCGAUACGACAAAGGUGAAAAAGACGUAAUCAUCCCUUAAUCGAUUUCUUUCCGUUCUAAGUCUAAAUCUCGAUUUUUCAACAUUAUAAAGGGAGUUUCUUUACUGAAAUUUUUCAGCUUCUAAACCCUUUCUUUGUUGCCAUUUUAGGUGGAGAGAAGAUGAAGAAAAGAUGAUAUCUUUCUUUUCUUGAUUUUAUUACGAAAAGAUGAUAUCUUUCUUUUCUUUAUUUUAUUCUAUUUUUAGUCAAAUUAGUCACCUAAAAGCCACAAAUUUUGGCUUUUUCGACCAAUUUGUCUCCCUUGGCCGGCCAUCACACUUUCAAUGGCCUAAUUUCCUUUUAAAGGUCCCUAAUUUAAGAUACAAAGCAAUUUAACACCUUUAGGCAUCAAAACACAACUUUUACCUUUUACGCGAUUUAGUCCGUUUUCGAAAUUGGACUAGAAAUCGCUAAAAUUAACUUACCAAAAAUUACAUGCACUUAUAAAAUCAUAUUAUAACACAUAAAAUAACAUCAAAAUAAUUUUCUCUGGCCCCAGAAUAGUGGUUCCGAAACCAUUGUUUUGACUAGGCCCAAAAUCGGGCUGUUACAUUUCUUCCCUCAUUUAGGGAUUUUCAUCCCCGAAAAUUGUACCAGAAAAAGUUGCUCUCAACUUUCACGAGUCACUUAUAUCUUUUUCUCACAGCUUACAAAACAACUCAGCUCAAGCUCAUACUCAGGAUUUCUGUAACCUUUCCACAAUUACCAUAAGAGUCUCGGCUCAAUUCGAAAUGCUGAAAACUGACAUUCUAAGAACUAUAAGCUUAGAAACACAGCUCGUCCAAAUCUGUCUAACAAUACCUCUGUACAUACCAAAAUAGUUAUGCAGACUACUAUCAUCAAUCUAUCACAAUCCAAUAUGGUAUCUCUUAUUUACCCGGAGAAGGGAGACAUCCUGGUACAUAAUUCAUACUAGUCCUUUCUCAUUUUCUUCUCUCUCUUUUUUUUUUCUUUUUUUUUCAUCAAAUGCCGUCACUGACAAUCUUAAAUCUCGAAUAUAUCUGAUAAUCGGCCUUACCUUGUAAACAAUUCACUACCCUUUGGAAGAACAGAUAGGGUGCUACUAAGAACUCUCUACACAAUUCUCUACAUAACUCGGAGCUUCUUGGUAUUCAAACCUUACUUACUUAUAGCCUCCUCUAUAUGCUCAGGCUCUUAACUGUUUCAAAACUUUACUAUAACCACAUCUCUCGAAUAAAAAAAUCUAACUAAUUAGGUUUUUCGUAUCAUACUUAUAAGAAUAAAACCUCAUCAUUCCUGACUGUACGACUACUUACCAAGGAACACGUAACGCUAUUCUCGAGCUAAAGAAUAAACUUAAAUGCACAUAAAUCAGAUUUACUUUUGCAGAAUAGCCAUUCUUUACCCCAAGAAUUUUAAAGAACUCUUGACAUUGAAAUCCUCGCACUUCUAUAGUCGAGCCAGAAGCAUAAUCAUAGUAGAUUCUAAUGUCGCAGGUCAAAGAUUACUCGUAAAGAUAACCCAAGCUCGAUAAUUCUCGAAACAAGAACGAGAGAAAAACCAAUAUAAGAAAUUCCAAGAUAUAAGACUAUAUCAGAGAUCCGAGAAUGUAAUCUAGAAGAAAAUAAUAAAGAUGAUCCGAAAAAUCCCUCAGAGAAAACCAAAAGGAAAUUACUGUCUGUACGCUCUAGAAUUCCUCAUAACAGAGAUAAUAUAAUUCCCGCAUAUAUAGACCAUAAUCAAUAGAACAUCAGAAUAAUCUCACAUAGAUUUUUACUAUCAACUUCAUUCCAAUAUAUCAGGAUAGAAAUCUGAAGAGAUGGAGAAAUGUCGAUCAUAACUAACUGGACCAAUAGGGCUUUUCAUCUAAUAUCAUAGUCACUUGCAUCCUCAUGCGAUAGAAUUCCCACUCGAAAGGGAUAACCAUACGUAUUUCCCAGAAUAGAGGAAAACAUAGAAUACUUAGAAGAGAAAGAUACCCAUAACUUUUAUUUAAUUGAAUCUGACAUACUUAGAUAUCUGUGCAAGUCCGACAUUAUUCCUUUAACUAAUUCUGUCUUCACUAAUCCCAUACUAUUCAAUUAUUGUACUCUUUAGUUUCACUUUUGCAAGCUUAUGCAACAUAUCUCUCGAGAAUCUCAUUGUAUAACUCUAUUCUGGUAAGAGGGCGAAGAUUGUAAAGCCUCUAAACUUUUGACUCUCAAGCAAAAACAUAUUCAACAACAACAUAGCAUUACGCACAUUGAUUCAAACAUUUCAAAUUUCCAACUUGUUAGAAACACAUUUUCACAUAUCUCAGUAAUACAUGCAACUUUAUUUCAUGUGAAUAUUAGCUAAACAUAAGUGAAUUUAUCACAAUUCAAACUUUCAUUUCUUUUACCCAAAUUACUAUUAAUGUCUUAUCAAGUUCCCACAUUUAGUCUUAAUCACUUGCUAGUAUUUAUCAAAUUGGAGAAUGUCUUACGGUUUUGAGUACAUCGCGUACUUGAUACCAUAGUCCAACUAUGGUCUUGUACUAGCUCUAAUCCAUCUGUGUCGAUACCGUGUCCCAGACAGGUCUUACACUAACACAUGUAACCGUGCCGAUGUAUGUCCCAGACAUGUCUUACACUAGCACAUCUCGUAGCCGACGCAUGUCCCAGACAUGUCUGACACUGGAUAACAUCUUGAGGCCGAUGCAUGUCCCAAACAAGUCUUACACUGGCUCUCAUAAUGUGGUUGAUGCAUGUCCCAGACAUAUCUUACACUAGCCCUCGUUUCAAUGCCGAUGUCAUGUCCCAUACAUGGUCUUACACUGGCUCUCAUUAUGUGGCCGAUGCUUGUCCCAGACAUGUCUAACACUGGCAUACAUAUCUCAUGUAUUGCCAUGGUCCAACCAUGGUCUUUUCCGUCAAUUCAUUAGUGAACGAUCAUACUCAUUCCUUGUGUUCUACCCAAUUUGAUCUUUCAAUAUUACAACUUUCAUGCUAUUGUGACAUUUAUGAUUCUAUAAUUGAGAUUAUAAACCAUAACAUUACGGCAUCUUGACUUCAUUAAUCUAGACAUAAAUGUCAACCUCAUGUAUAUACUGAUUAUUAGUCAUGCAAUAAAAGCAUUCAUACAUACAUUCUGUCAUUUCAAGCAAAUUUUUUUCUUAUAAACACUUGGCCAAUCAAGUGGGACAUUUAACAUUGUAUGAAUACUAAUAUGCAUAAAAGAGCUUUUCACAACUUAACUUUGUUUUAUUCCACUAUUUCACAUUCUUUAACUCAAGAGUAUCACAUAAUGAAUACUAGUUCAUGUAAAAAAAAUCAUGAAUUUCUUUUCAUACCUUUCCUAUUUUCAGCAUAUCACAAGCAUGAUUCAAUAAUUCUCAACUUUACUCUCAUCUCUAUCAAGAUUUGCUCGGUUGGAAGUCAUUCCUGUCUUAACCAACAGUUUUGCUAGGGCCAGAAGACAUCACACUAUUACGAAUAAUACUAUGGCAUGUAUAGCUAGACUCUUUUACGCUAGAUUAGUCUGAGAAUCGACUAAAUAAUACUCUGAUACCACUAAAUAUAACACCCCUCACCCGUAUCCAACGCCGGGACAGGGUUCGAAGUGCUACCGGACUUAAACUCAAUCAACCAUAUAAAACCAGGCCGUAAAAUUUCAAUCAAUUUAAAACUUUUCAUUUCAUAUACAUUUUGUCCCUUAAACGAGCUUACGAGACCCAAAACAUGCAUUAGAGGCGGUUCGGGGCUAAACCAAGAACUUAAGAAAAACUUAAAAAAUUUCAUGUUUUAAGGCUUAACACGGCCAUGUGGAUAUAGACCGUGUGGUCACACAUGCCCGUGUGGCUUGAGACAUGCCCGUGCCCUUAGCCCGUGUGCAACACUGACUUUAAAACACGGCUAUGUCACACGCUCGUGUGACCUACCCGUGUACUAAUCUGACUUAAAAUUUUAAGUGCAGGGGACGCACGGUUGGACAACAUGCCCAUGGGGCAGACCGUAUGUCACUCACGGUCUAGACACACGCCAGUGUCUACCGUGUAGACAAUUACAAGGCUAUUUUCCAAGCCAUUUGUCACCCUCACAACAUAUGCACACAUACUUAUCCAAUGACAUACAACAUGGCAUAAAUGAGCUCUUAAACAUCUACAAACAUGUUAUGCUCAUGACAAUUUCUUAUGCAAUAAAUAUCAUAGAAUUUACUCACAUCAUUACUACAUACUUGUCAUAAGUAUCAUUACGUCACAAACCUCAUGUCCAUCACUAGGCAUGCAUAAUCAUAUCCACAAACCAUUCAUGAGGCAUUAUUAACUAUUUACCAAUCACUUAAUCUUGCAUCAGUUACUAACUCAUCAAUGAAUCUCAAUUCAAUCUCUAGGCAUACAUGCUGUAAGCCACAUCACAAGAGAUAAUAACAUACAUGCAUAAGAAUAAUCAUAUAGGACCAUACCGUCAUUAGCCGAUAUAGGCCAAUUCACAUGACUAUAUACUACCUUAAUAACAAGUCAAUGCCUUUGGCUAAAUCAUAAUAUCACAUACUCAACAUUAAAACCCUAUACAUGCCAUAGACUCGAAACACUAGGAUUUACUUAUGCCGAUAGCGUCAACUCGACAGUGAUAAUAUCUCUGACGGCCUCCAACCCGAGCUAACCUGACAACCCUAAAGAACAUGGGAAAGAAAAGGGGAGGGGUAAGCUUUACGUUUAGUAAGUUCAUAUGAAAACAAUAAGCAACUCAUUAACAUGUUUUUAUCAAUGUUUACAACAUAUUCUCAAGUUCAUGACAAGCUAUCUUCCUGAGCAAUAGUCACUAAAUUAAUUAUAUCUGCAGCUAAGAAACUCCAAAUUAAGUUCUGUUAAUUUUCCUUGAAACUAGACUAAUUUAUAUUUCUACCAUAAAAUUUCCAUAAUUUUUGGUUAAGCCAAUUAGUACAGUUUAUUCCUCAAAGUUAUCCCUGAUUCACUGUCUGACAGUCCUGACCCUUCUGUACUAAAGUUCAAUUAUCUCAUAGCACAGGACUCGAAUAAUGUUCUUGUCUAUUUCUAUUGAAACUAGACUCAUUAAGGAUUCUAAACAUAUAAAUCAUAACUCAUAAAUAUUUUUUUACAAUUUAUAAUGAUUUUCUCAAUUCAGAACAGGGGAUCUCAAAGUCAUUCUGACUCUGUCCUAUGCAACUUCAAAUAUCUCAUUAUAGGAAAUUCUUUUGCUUACACGGUUUCUUUUAUAAGAAACUAUACUCAAUAAGAUUUAUUCCCAUAUUUUAUUCAGAUUCUAACUAAUUUUCCACUAUUUUAAUGUAUUUUCAAAUUUACACUACUACAGUAACUCAAAUCUGUCAAGGGUAAGUUAUUCAUGAUCAUUGUUCACAAAAUUAAUACAACAUCAUUUCAUCCAUCAUGGUAAGAACACAUAUUUAUACAUCAUAGAUCAUCACAUGUCAAGGCAUUCUCAUAGGCUUAGUGUACAUACCUGCACAACUCGUAACAUGACUCAAGUGCGUACUCACCAAUGACUUACCUAAUUGGGACCAUCAUCAACUCUUUCCUUGGAUUACCCGUUGAACACUCGGAAUACUAAUUGGAUACUCGGAAAAACCUUUGCACAUAAGUGCCUCAAUUGUAGCUAAAGCUACCUCAUAUCUCAUGACAUUUAAAUGCUCACUCUCGAGCUAGUCAUCUAGACUCAUAAUUCCUAGUGACAUGUCACUUGUAUCCUAUUUUAUUCCUAAGGUUCAAACGAGAUUUUUCCUCGCCUAUUAAGGCAUUGUCUUAUAUAUUUCUGUUAAUCACAUACACUUAAUAUUUGUACAAUUCAUGUAAUGAUAACAUUUAAAUACAUGUAUAGCAUGGUAUUGUUUACAUAUGAACUUACCUCGAUACGACAAAGGUGAAAAAGACGUAAUCAUCCCUUAAUCGAUUUCUUUCCGUUCUAAGUCCAAAAUAUCGAUUUUUCAACAUUAUAAAGGGAGUUUCUUUGCUGAAAUUUUCUAGCUUCUAAACCCUUUCUUUGCUGCCAUUUUCGGUGGAGAGAUGAUGAAGAAAAGAUGAUAUCUUUCUUUUCUUUCUUUUAUUCUAUUUUUAGUCAAAUUAGUCACCUAAAAGCCACAAAUUUUGGCUUUUUUUGACCAAUUUGUAUCCCUUGGCCGGCCAUCACACUUUCAAUGGCCUAACUGCCUUUUAAAGGCCCCCAAUUUAAGAUACAAAGCAAUUUAACACCUUUAGGCAUCAAAACACAACUUUUACCUUUUACGUGAUUUAGUCUUUUUUCGAAAUUGGACUAGAAAUCGCUAAAAUUAACUUACCAAAAUUUACAUGCACUUAUAAAUUAUAUUAUAACACAUAAAAUAAUAUCAAAAUAAUUUUCUUCGGCCUCGGAAUAGUGGUUCUGAAACCACUGUUCCGACUAGGCCCAAAAUCAGGCUGUUACAUGCUACAACAUGAUAACGUAAGUGAUUAAAAUGUAAUAUUUAAACAUAAGUGAUUAAAAUAUAACUUAUGGUAAACAAAAGUGACCAUGAGUGUAGUUUACCCAUUAACUUAUGGUUGAACCCUUUUUAAUUAAGUGAAUUAUGUUUUAAAACUUAAACCCAAUUUUCCUAAAGCCAAGACCAAUUUAGUUUGAGGCCUCAUUUUUAGAAUCAGUCUAGGCCUAUUUGAAAUGAUGUUUGAGGUUGCUUAGGGCUCGGUUUUAGCCCAAUCGCAAAAUUCUCACUACAGGCCCACUCUUUUUAUUGUAAUUUUUACCAGGCUUCAAUUUGAUCUCCGGCCCUUUGGAAGCCAUUUUUAUGAAUAGUCAAUUUAUUUUAAAAUUAGCUCGAGAGCCCACUUUUUUAUUCAGUUUCAAGCCCUAAUUUCCAUAUGUCCGCUAAGUGGGAACACACAAAAACAAGUAAAUUCUUCAGCCAUGUGCACUACAAUGGGUAUUGGUGCAAUACAAGGAUUAACAGAGGAGAAAAACAAUAUUUUAAAACACAUUACAUAUUUAAUACUUAUAUUUUAAUUUGAUCAAUUUUAAUUUUUGUAUUAUUUUAAUUUUAAAAAUUUUGUCCUGACUAAACAGUAUCUGCUAAAUUUGUUCAGUUAAAUUCUACUAUUAAUUCUUUAUUAUACGUAAAGUUAGAAAUUUAGUUCAUAUUAUCUAAUUGAAUAAUUCUUAGUCUUUAUAUUUUUUAGAUUUCAAAAGUUUAAUUUUAAUGUAAACGUUAGUCAUUAAAAUAUGAAAAUUAAAAAUGAUUAAAUUAAAAUAUGUAAUGGCAUAAUUUGACUAAAAAUGGAUCAAAAGAUAUGAAUAAUACUAGGUUAAAAGCAAUGAUUGAUAGUAAUUCUGAUUAACGAACCGAUAUAUAAUUUUUAAGAUUGAAAAUAUAAUAAAAUAAAACAAAGGAAUGAAGGUUGGGAUUAAAAUGAUGGCCAUUGUUUAUACCAGUACAAGAGACCAAAACAACAUAGACAUUUGACGCUAGAGGAUGAUCUACUCGAAGCAGUACAAAAUUUUAACUCUUUCAACUAUGUUUUAGCUUUUAAAUUAGAAUUAAAAUGAUAAAUUUUGUAAAUAUUAAAGCUUAAAUUAGUUGAUUUUUUUAGAUUUAGGAUUAAAUUGAUUAAAUAUGUAAAUUUUGGAGGUCUAAAUUUGUUAUUAGACCAAUAAAACAAAUCUUAAGUUAGACUUUUAUUAGAUAAAUAACCGGAGAGUGACUCAAAUAUUUAAUUUCGAAAAAUUGAGUAAUUAAAUUUAAAAAAAUAAUUGAAUGACCAAAAUAGAACAAAGUGGACUACUAUUUUUAUAGCUUAUCUAAAAAAUUAUAGAAAUAUAAAAAUUCAUGAAAAGUUUUAAGAAUUAAAAAAUCCAAAAAAAAAACUAAAAUAAAUCUAAAAAUACCUAGAAUUUUUAUUUUAGAUAUUCAUUUGUCAAAAAAUUAUUAUGCACCUAAAAUAGAAAAAUAAAAUAAAAAAACCUUUAAUAAAUUUUAAUUUAUUGGAUGUCUGUACAAAAGUUAACAACGUCAACAAAAUAACUAAAAAUAAUACCAAUUUAGUUAAUAGAGGUCAAGUUCAAGUAUCAACUAGGGAAAAAAAUAUUUGGUUUCCAACUAUAGUUGUUUGAAUCAGAUCGGUUAGAUUGAAAAUUGACUGAGAAAAGCAUCGGACUAAUUAACCUGUGAACCGAUAUAAAUUAAUUAAACUAAAAUAAAAGAUGAAUUAAAGUGAUAGUUAAAUCAGAUGUUUAUUUUAAAAUAUUUUUAUUUUAAUAAUUUAUUUAAUCCAACCGAUUAUCACAUUAUGGAAAUGAUAAUGGGUUGUGAGUUAUGAAAUCCUUGCGUAUAGUCCAUUCUAUCCAAAUAAUUUCUUUUUAAAAGAAAAUCCGAAUUUUAGUGUGUGGAAUAUUAAAAGAAGCGAUUCUAAUGUUAACGUCAACAAACAUUCCAUGCAUUACGCGGUGAAACAUCCUGAAAUUAGAAAUUGAAAGGCUAUAUAAAUCACAGACACCCCCACCCUUAAUCAUUGUGCAGUGCGGUGCUUCUCUAUUGUCAAAUACAAUAAACCUUAGAGAAAAACUGCAUUUCUCCAUCCCCAAUCUUUUUCCUUUUUAAUAAACCCCAACAAACCAAAAUGGCCCGCCAAAUUGUUGUUCUUGCUUUGGCCAUCAUGGCCCUCUUUGCCUUGGUUUCCACCUCUGCUGCGGCCCCCGCCCCCGCACCCGGUGGCAGCCCUUCAGGUUCACCUGGAGAUGCUAGCUCCCCUCCUUCUCAGGCCAGCGCUCCUAGUCCUAGCAGUGGUGCCGCACUUGAGGUCUCGGCUAUUGCCGCAGGAGCAGCCGCCGUUGCUAGCUAUUUUAUGUUCUAAAUACGAUUUAUCUCAAGG